AAGCAAUUUCUUCAAGAGCUUGGUUUGAAUCAGAUGGAGUAUAUUGUCUAUUGUGACAGUCAGAGUGCAAUAGACUUGAGCAAGAACUCCAUGUACCAUGCAAGAACAAAACACAUUGACGUCAGAUAUCAUUAGAUUCGUGAGAAAGUGGAGAAUGAAUCAUUUCACGUCAAAAAAAUUCACACAAGUGAAAAUCGUGCAGAUAUGCUGACAAAGAUGAUACCAAAAGACAAGUUCGAGUCAUGCAAAGAACUUGUGGGUAUGAGCUCUCUCUAAAGAAGUUGAAGAUACCUUGUUCCAGUAAAUGGGACUGGAGGGGGAGAUUUGUUGAAUCCAUCCCAUUGUUUUAGUCAACUUUAGUUAUUCAAUUGGUACAAACAAUUGUUAAAAAGGAAUAGUAAUUGGAGUUGAAAAGAAAAGAUUUGGUAGUUGGCAAAUUGGUAAGAUUUGCAACCAUUUUUGACUUUGCUAUGUUUACAUAUGUCAUUAGUGACAUAGGUAUGGUUUUAUCCUUCUAUAAAUAGAGCAUUCUUGCUCAUUUGUAGAACACACCAAGUUAGAGAAAAAAAAACCAUUUUGAGAGCAAAGUGAGGUAUUCCAUAGACUAUACAAGAAAAUAGUCUGUGAAGAAAAAUAGAGUGUGAGCGAUAUUUUUGUAAGACGGAAACCAAAAGAGUGUUGUUCCUUUUGAGUGUGUAGUAGUCACUUUGAGUGUUGUAUUCGUGACUACACAGUGUAAAAUUCCUUACUAUAGUAAUAUCAGUUGCUCCUCUUGGCCCGUGGUUUUUUCCCUUAUUCAGAAGGGUUUCCACGUAAAAUUCUUGGUGUCGUUAUUUUCUCAUUUUAUUUCCAUUACUUUUACCAUAUAUAUUUUUGUGCUUUUCGCGUUUUUCCAACAAACUGGUAUCAGAGCCCAGGUUAUCAACAAGUCUCAGCCCACCGGGAGGAACUGGGUUGUCGUUCUCUCUAGCCCAAGGCCCGAUGUGUGAAGGGGGAGAUUGUUGGGUUAUCCCACAUCGGAAGUGGAAGGGGCUGGUGGUCAAUCUAUAAGUGUGAGGGAAAGCCUCAACCUUUGAGCUAGCUUUUGGGUUGAGAAGGCCCAAGACCACCCAACAUAGAGAACAUAUAAUCUUUCAUAAAGUUCACAACCCUCCGGCAAAGUGACAACCCUUUAGGAGAGUUACAAUCCUUCAUUUGUUGGGAAAGACAAGGCACUAACAAAGAAUGUCUGACAGGAUAACAGCGGAAGAAUACCCAAGUCUAUACUUUCCCUUCUCGAUUUGAACCAAGAAAAGACAAACAACCACAAGCAAUAUGAUAGUAAGGCAGCAAGUAAUUCAACCAAACAAAUAUAACAAGACAAUAAUAAACCAAUCACACAAGACACCAAUUUCGCAGCUACUGUUUACGACAGCAAAACUGAAGUUGCAGGCCACCAAAUCCAACUCUGUCAGUUCCUAAUCAAAGAUUGAGAUGAAAAUAAUAUGCUGUCCAAAAAUCAGCUCAAUCGGACAAGAAACGAAGCGGGAAUCGCAAUUUGAAGUUGGCUGUUAGGGCUGAAUUUUGACUGCGAAAAUUGCUCUCUUUCUCUCUUUUUGGUUGCUAAAAAAACUCUCUGUGUAUAUGAAAAUAAGACCUAAAUAGGCUUAUAUUUGCCUCAUAAUAAUGGGCCUAUGGGCAAAAAUGAAUUGGUCCAAAUUGGACUUUUAUUUAUCCACAUAGGAAGCAAAAAAAACCAUAACCCAACAUCAUUUUCUGUUCACACCUUUAAAACUCAACAAAUGUCUCAAUUGUUUAAACUCCCAAACACCACAAGGAAGUUCAAUGAUGCUAUUACCAAUAUCUAGGGUCUCUAGACGUUUGAGCUUCACCGUGCAAUUUGACAGUUCACGUAAAUCUUCCCCUCGAAUAGCAGAUAGCGUAAGUAACUCAUGUUCCCGAUUUUGAAGUUAGGAUGAGUCAUUUGAGAAAAAAUGCAACUCUCUUUUGUGAAACAGAAAGGGUAAACAUACAUAAGACAAUAAAUGGUUGUAUUUUAAAAAUUAGUAGCGACAAAUACAUCAACUUGAAAAAGCAAAAAUCAAACAUUUAAUUUAAUGUUAUUUAUUGCAAAUUCAAACAGUCAUGGUCUCCAGCAAAGACUUGAAUCAUUCUGAAAUGCAUCUGCAAUUUAUUAGACAUAAAAUGAUUUAGUUCAUUAAUUAAAAAAAUUAGCUUAUUGAGAGAAAAUUGUAAAUAAUUAAGGUAGCAAACUAACCUGUUGAUGCAUUGAGAUUUUCAUACUCUCAGCUUUGUAAGACGUUCCGAGAGCCUAAUGUUGAACUUGGUAUGUUUCAGUAAUAACUUUUUCAAUUUAGGCAUACUCACAUCAUCUGUGCACUCUACUUCAGAUAACCCGAAUGGUUUUUGAAUAUGCAGAACUUCAAGUUGCAGAAAGCUAUCAUUAUCACCAGAGAGAUCCAUCUUUUCUUCCUUAUGUUGGCAGUAAAUCAUUUUAAGUAUUCUUAAUUUGGGCAAUUUCUUAAGCAAUGCUACUAAAUGACCUUCUACCUCAAUGCAGCUAAGAGUAAGCUUGACAAGAUUUGGAGGGAACGUUUCAGAGUUCAAAUGCUCGCUUCCAUUCAAAUGCAACUUAACAAUAUUUGGAAAGGGUGACAAGUUUAUUUGCUCACUCGAUUGAUACAAAAAUAUGAGCUUCAGAGCCUCCAACUCUUUUGGCAACGUUGAUAAUAUCUGAAUGGUAGAAUCAGAUACUCUCCAUAUACCCAGUUUUCUUAAGUUGAUCAACCGGUGAAAUAAUCUCGGUUCAACAAACUUAUCAUCCACACACAUCAAAGUUUGUAGAUUAGUAGGAGGCAAUGAGCAAAUGUUUCGGCUUAUAGAAAAGCAACAGUUAGAUUCUUGUAAAUUACCUUUACAACGAAGAUGUCUCAAUUGUGUAGACUCCCAAACACCAGUAGGAAGUAUUGCCCAGCUAUUUUCAAUAUUUAGGGUCUGCAUAUGUUUGACCAUACUAUUUGGCAGUUCCCCAUACAUAUGCCCCUCCAAUUGCAGAUAGCGUAAGCAACUCGUCUUCCCAAACGUUUUUGGGAUUCCUAUGUAACUUAAAAAAUAAUCAUAAGCUAUGACUACAACCAACACUUGCAAUAAUUUGAAGUCAUGACGAGCCAGUUGAGAAAAUAGGCAAGUAUCAUUUAUAAAACAGAAAAGUGCACGAAGUUUCUUAGGCUUAGGAUUUGAACGGAAGAAAUCAUUCAUGGCAUUAAUAUUAGAGUAGAAUGUAAUCCUUCGCACCCUAGAAACAUUGCCGGGAUCACCAAAUGCAUUGUGCUCGGUGUGAAAGAAGUUACUUUCCUUGCCCAACUCCACACACAAACUAUGUAACAAGUCAUGUAUGCGACAAGUUGAAAUUCUUCCAUCAUAUCUCCUUUUGGCAACUUGGAUCAAGUUUCUAGAAACCAAAUCAUUUAGGAAAUCCUCCGCCUUACUUUCAGCCUCUCGCGUAUUACCACUAUUUACAACUAUGAGCUUCUCAGCAAUCCACAUAUUUAUCAAAUCAAAAGCACGAAUUUCAUAGUCCUCGGGGAAAAGGCCAAAGUACAAGAAACAUGGCCUUAAUGCAAUAGGCAAAUCAUUGUAACUCAAAGCCAAUACCUUAGCACAUCCCUCUUGAAUUUUAUGAGUCAUACUGUCAAGUACUCUGUUCCAUGCAUGUUCUGUUCUUCCUCUUGCCCUUAACAUACCUGCAGUCACCACAAUCGCUAGCGGUAUACCUCCACAUCUCUCAACUAUACAUCUACCAAUAUUUACCAAGUCUGGUGAAGUAUUGGCCCAAUUAUCAUCAACAAAAUUACAGAUUUUCUUGGUAAAGAGUUCAAAACUGUUCUCCGAAUCUAGAGGUUGCAACACGUGGAUUGAGAAAUCCCCUCCUAUGUAUCUGCCUACAUUACUAUUUCGAGAGGUUAUAAUUAUCCUACUGCCAAUUUUUGAAUCAGAUUCAGGAAGGACGAGUUUUAGAUCAUCCCAAAUUUCAACAUCCCAAAUGUCAUCUAAAAGGAUAACGUACCUUUUUAUUUUCAAGAGUGAUCUUAGGUUGUGUUCCAAGUUCUCUUUCCUUUCUUCUUCCGUCAGUCCAACUUGUUUGGCUAUGUUAAGCAAGAUUUCUCCCGCCCUUGGCUGCUGCGAGACAUAGACCAAUCCAGAACAUUCAAAUUGAUGACGGACGUGCCUAUAAAGUUUCUUGGCAAGAGUAGUUUUUCCCAAACCGGGCAUGCCAACUAUUGAAACAACUCCAUAAGGCAAAUCUUGAAGAAGCAAUUUGUGUUGGAGCUUGUUGAAGUCAUGAUCCAAACCGAUGACCUCUGUUUCAUCAUAAGCAUGAAGGAAUCGUCUUCUCCGGUCCAUUGGAAUGCAAUCAUCAUUAUUGUUACUUGUAUCUGUGAUGUUGUAAGUUGUCCUUACACGGUCAAUAUCAGCAACUCUUCUUUUUAUCUUCUCAAUCUCCAUAGCAAACUUAUUCGCAAAAUAAACAGUCUUAAGGCAACAAAUGAACUUAUUGGAUUGUUGAAUUUUUGGAAGGAACUCAUCUAAUAGAUCCUCCACAUCACCUGCCAGUUGUUGAAUAUCUUCUAAUAGGUUUUUGACCCUUGAAUCACCUCCAACUUCCUUUGCCUUUGCAUCGUCUACAUAUGAUCGAAUGUGUUUCAUUUCUCUUUGGAGCCAAUCGAUGUCCUCCUUCAACCAAUAUAAACGCGUACCUUCUUGCACGAGUAGAUUUGCAGCUAUUUCAACAGAUUUAUUGAUGACUGCUGUAAGAAGAAUAUCAGCCAUCUCCUUUUUCCUUAAUUUCCUUUUUUUUUUUUGUAAAUGUAAGGAUGAGGAAGGGAAAGUAAGAAAAAAAUAUGAUCAAUUUGCUUUAGUGUUGGAGUCAACGACCAAGUCUUGUAAACACAUUUUUUCUUACUCAUGUUAGCUGGUAUUUCGUUUUCAAGCAUCAAUAACAAACAUUGAAAGGCGUAAAAUUCAAUGGCAAAGAUGAGUUCACACCUCAGCUUCUGGAUUCUCCUUCAUCCGAUUAAUUUUUCAAGAGAUAUUGUAUGAGUUGCCGUAUUCUGAUUAGAGGUCUCGAAUUCAAUAUUAAUAUUGGAGGAAAAUUCUGAUUAUAAAGUUUUUUUCUUCUUACAAAUCAUAAGCUACCCACAAAUAAAUCAACUUUAAAAAGCAAUCAAUAGGGAUUUAGUUGGUACACAUUCUAAAGUUUAAUUUGUUCAAUAUCAUUAGCAAAGGUUGUGGCAGAUGUUGAAUGCCUUGAAUCGGGCCCAAGCCUGUUAGGGCGUAGCUUAGCACUAUAUAUAGACGCUAUGGGAAACCCUAUUCUGUAAUUCUGUUUUUGCCUCUCCAUAAUAAAACUGCUCCCUCUCUUCCCGUGGACGUAGCCAAUUUAUUGGUGAACCACGUAAAUCUGUUGUCUUGUUUUUGCGUUUAUAUUUUCUCGUAUUAUCUCAAAUUCCGCACAACAGCAGAUAUUAGCAAAGUGUUUGGGAUACUCAUAAUUCUCCAUAAAUCAUCAUUAGAUAUGACUACAACCAACACUUGCAAUAAUUUUUUGAAGUUAAGAUGAGCCAUAUGAGAAAAUAUGCAAGAGUGUAUAUUUGUGAAACACAAAAGUGCACGAAGCUUCUUACGGUUACGAUUCGAAUGGAAGAACUCAUUGAUGACAUUAUUAUCAGAGUAGAAUGUCAGCAAACCUUUUGAAAAAAUUAAGUGACAACGCAAACAUCUUUAGUAUAUACCUAUCAUCAAUCACACUAUAUUGAAAAAACAUAAAUCAUUUUAAGUUUCCUAACGUCUUGCAAAACUUCACCCUUCAUGGCUGUGAGUUUGGGCUCUCAAAAUAUUUUGAGUGCGUAUUUGAUUCUUCAAUACGAUUUUAUUUAACUUUAAUAGGUAGUGAGACAUUACCAUAAUGACUCUAGUGGAAUGGUCGGAAUUUCUAUGCUUUUCUAGUAAGGAGUGUUUUGCUCUAAGUUUAUUAAUUAGACUAAUUUAAAUUUCUAUCACUUAAUACUGAUUUAAGAAAAAAUUACUUUAUACUCCAUUCGUUUUAAAAAGAAUGAUUUAGUUUGACUUGAAACGGAAUUUAAAAAAAAAAAAGACUGAUUCUAAAUUAAAAUUAUGUCAAAUAUACAAAAAUCUCUUUUAAUCUUUUGGUCUUAAACAUGCCACGUGAAAAGUUAGAAUUAAAAUGUUAUCAAAAUAGAAAAAGGGAUCAUUAUUUUUUAAACAUGCUAAAAAAAAAAUACGAUCAUUAUUUUUUCAACGGAUGAAAUAUCAAUUUUUUUCAUUUUCAGAGCUGAUUUAGUUUUUUUGAUUCAUUAUGUGUGAUCUGCGAAUCCUUGUGGUAUUGAUAACACAAGUUAAAACAUCUGUAGGUUAUUUCACAUGGACUUACAUCAAGGAAAAGAAAAAAAAAAGGAUAUAAUUUGAGGAAAUAUAAAAUAUAAAUAAAGUCUCGUAUUAAUUAUUUUGUUCUUGCAAAUGAAUGAAUAAACCAACAAAAAAUUGACUAAUUUUACAAUCAAACUGCUUUUAAAAUAAAGUGAAACACUAUUUAGAAAAAAUACAAAUAAUUCACGUAACAUCCUAAAAUAGCUUUCUCAACCUCGAUAAUUGCUCAUUUAUAAACUAUUAUGAGUUCACAUAAUGCAUUGUACAUUAAUUCCAAAAAUACCCUCUUCGAAAAUCAAGGUACAACACCUCUAAGCAUUAGAAUUGUCCUCUAGUGCCUUACUAUUUUGAGCUAUUAAAACGCCGCAGAUAUUGUAUACGAGUAUUUUUUACACUCUGAAAAAGUCGAAAGGCAGUGUACUUAUAUAUACCCUUUCUUAAACCCCACAGUCCACAGUAAGACCUAGCCGCUUCUCAUUUUCUGGCCUCUUAAACCCUGAAAAUUUGUCUUCAUCAGGUUUGUUUUUUUAAUAAGUUUUUUGAGAUGGGAUUAUGCUUAUUUUGCUAUAUUAUGGUUAUUUGCCCUGUUGUUUUGUUUUGGUUCUUGAUUAUUUAGUUUAUAUGGAGCUGGAGCUUUGUUAAGUGUUUGGGGUAUGUUGGUUUUAUGUUUGGGGUAUGUUGUAGAACUCUUUUUUUUUUUUUAUGUUUGGUGAUAAAAAUGAGUUUUUUUUAAUAAUGUUUGGUGAUUAAAGUGAGUUUUUUGAGAUGUGUUUAUUCUUAUUUGGUUAUCCUAUGGUUAUUUGCCUUGUUGUCUUGUUAUGGUUCUUGAUUAUUUAGUUUAUAUGGAGCUUUGUUAAGUGUUUGAGGUACAUUUGUUUUAUGUUUGGUUCAUGUUAUAGAACUCUUACUCAUUGUUUUUUCAUGUUUGGUGAAAAAAAUGAGUUUUUUUUAAUGUUUGGUGAUAAAAAUGAGUUUUUUUAGAUGAGUUUAUGCUUAUUUGGCUAUGCUAUUGUUCUUUGCCUUAUUGUUUUAUUUUGGUUCUUGAUUUUUUGUUAAUAUGGAACUUUGUUAAGUCUUUGGGGUCUUUUGGUUUUAUGUUUGGUUCAUGUUGUAGAACUUUUACUCAUUGUUUUUUUAUGUUUGAUGGAAAAAAUGAGUUUUUUGAGAUGGGUUUAUGCUUAUUUGAUUAUAUUAUGGUUCUUUACCUUAUUGUUUUGCUAUGGUUUUUUAUUUUAAGUUAUUAUGGAGCUUUGUUAAGUCUUUGGGGUAUAUUGGUUUUGUGUUUGGUUUAUAUUGUAGAUCUUUUACUCAUUGUUUUUUAAUGUUUGGUGAAAAAAGAUUUGUUUUUUGAGAUGGGUUUAUGUUUAUUUGUUAUAUCAUGGUUCUUUACCUAAUUAUUAUGUUAUGUUCCUUUUUUUGGGUUAAUAUGGAGCUUUGUUAAGUCUUUGGUGUAUCUUGGUUUUAUGUGUGGUUUCAUAUUGUAGAACUUUUACUCAUUGUUUUUUCAUGUUUGGUUAAAGAAAAUCACUCUUUACCCUGUUCAAGUCUGAUACUGUAUUCUUCGUAGAACUUUUAUGGGUUUUUUAUGUUUGGUGGAAAAUAUUGUUCUUUGUUCUAUUCAAAGUGAGAUGAUGCUUUGGCCUUCUUAUUAGUUUGAUAUCUUUUGUUAUUAGUAGUGUUUCUUUUUCUUGUAUGUAUGUAGUGUAUUUCUCUAAUUUGUGUAAUUGAGUUAAACGAGUUUGAUGAUUGUUCUGUUUUGAAAUAAAUAUACUGGAAUGUUGCUCUCACUUGUUAUUUGCUUCAGAAAAUUAACUGACUACUGUUGAAUGAUUAGCUAGUUGGCAGGGCAAAGCCACAAUGCAUCUCAUGGGUUUGGGAAAACAGACUCUUUAUUCGUGUUGAAAAUUUCACUCAAGAUGUAUGAAUAGUCUAUCCAGAACCAAAUAAACUACUUUUUAAAGAAAAAUUAUAACUCAUAAGCUCAAAAUCGUAGCUUUGCCUCUGUGAAGAUGGUUUGAACCUAAGAUAUAAUAUUAGGCCAGAAAUUUAAUUUUUGUGUACUGUAUCUAAACAUGUGUUCUAAUAUCUAGUAACAAAUCCCAUGGGGGUGCAAGAGUGAAGGGAAAGGGGAGACCUAGAGAGCUAAUAGAUUUCACCGCAUAUGUGGUUUCAGAAAUCUAGUUUGUGGAUGUAUGCCACUGUGUUUUUUUUAGUAUGCAUUUAAAUGAAUGAGUUUUGCAUCGUUUAGUUGUCAUUUGUAUAGGUUUUCUGCUUUGUCAAUCUACUUAUUGAUGUUGCCUGUCAGAUUAAAGGUUUCCAUACUUUAAAAUUCUAAAUUUGUAUAACCUUCUUUUCAUUCUUUUUAUAGAUAUCAAUGGCUUUCUACAACAAACUUGGUGGUCUUUUGAGGCAGAGCAUCUCAACAAGUGGCAAUACAUUAAACGCACAAUCAUCAGCACCUUCAAUGCUUAAUGCCAUCCGUUGCAUGUCAACAAAGCUUUUUGUUGGAGGUAUGUGAGUAGCAGUCUGAAAAAAAUAUCACAAGUAUUGUUUCUUAGUGAAUACCCUGCGACAGUUUGCUUAUUUAUUCCUCAAUUUAAUAGGUCUUUCAUUUGGAACUGACGAUCAGUCUCUGAGGGAAGCCUUCACCAGUUUUGGUGUUGUCGUCGAGGGUAAUCUCCCAACUAUCCCGAGUCUGGCUUGCUUUAGUUUCCAUCUUGUUUUUAUUCUCCGAUUAUGAGUAUUUGAAUGAACAACACAACGAAAAUCAAGUUAGAUGAAAAUGCUAUCUUUUAUGAAGGAUCAUACACAGUACAAUAUGUAUCUGAUAAUAGCUUCCGAUGUAUAUAUAAUUUAAACCUAUACAUGGCAUGGUGGAUGCAUAAAUUUGUCUGUUGUCUUGUGUUCCUCUUGCUUACUAGGCUAUGAAACUUGAUAGAUUUUCUGCAGCUCGUGAUUUGUUUCAUGACCUUAAGUGUUCAUAUAGUGAGUGCUCCACGCGUUUUUGUCAUAAAUUGCAUACUCUAGUGAUUGGGCUGGGAUAUUGGCAUUUUUCUGAUGGUUUCUAAGUUUGUUCUAUCGUUAAGGCAUUAUCAGCUACUAUCUUCAUCUCCCUCGUUUAGUUUGUGGGUGCUAGGAUUAGUUUAACAUCGGAGUUGAACCAAUACUUAUGGUUUUUUUGACAUGGUCCUCCCUUUCAUCUCGCUUGCUAGCUCUUACUUUCUGCUGUUUGAACUUUGUUCGUGUGUUAAAUAUUCGUGUACUUUGAUUGUGGCACAGCUAAGGUCAUCAUGGAUAGAGAUUCUGGGAAAUCAAAGGGAUUUGGAUUCGUGAACUUCACAGAAGGUCAAUCUGCCCAAGAUGCUAUGUCAGCAAUGGAUGGACAGGUAAAAUUUUGUUAGUAAUACAUGAAACCUUUAGUUUAUGCCUUUGUAUAGUUUAAGGGACUAUUUGGUUACAAUGAUUUGGAUUAAAUUUUGUACCAUAUUCGGUUGUGGAUAUUAGUUGAAACUCAACGACAUAGUGUAGUUUUACAAAGUGGGGUCCGGGAAGGAUAGAACGUAUGCCUCUCAGAAGUAAAGAGGCUGGUUAUUCAUGAAUCAUGGCUGAUAUCACAUUAUGCUCCCUGUAGGAUCUCAACGGGAGGAACAUCCGCGUCUCUCUAGCCCAAGAGAGAGCCCCACGCAGUGGUGGCUUUCGUUCUGGUGGUGGCGGAUUUGGCGGUGGCUAUGGUGGAUCUAGACAAAAUGAUGCAUACUAAGUAAAACUUGUAAUCUUUGCUCACUUGUCUAUACAAGCAUAGCAAAUUUCGUAGGUAGGAGAUGGAACGUAACGCGAUUUUGUGUUGAACGAAUUUUCCUUAGCUUUUAAUGUAUGCUUCUAUAUUAAGGUUUUAUCAUAUGAUCACUUGACUUCCCUAACUUUGGUCCAAGUGGGCAAGUCGAUUUUAAUUAGUCGAGUUUUUAUGUGCUAAAGUUCAAAUAAAAAAUGAUUGAACUUCAGUCAUAUGUACCCGUCAGCUAUGUGCAGUGACUUCGUUAAAGAUUAACUUCAGACACUGUAUAUCUGAAAUUAUGUAAGCAACACAAAUUAAAUGACGACGUCAAAAUUGGAUAUCCAUGUGCUUUGCCGUUGAGUGUGUAAUUAUACGAUUGGAAAAAAUAAUUUGGGCUAAGACUAAUUGAUUUGUUCUCUAAAGUCCAGGAAACAAAUCUUAAGCCCAAGGUAUAAAGAAACGAUGCACAUGUUAGAUUAAUUUUGAAUUAAGAAUGUGUUUGAUACGAAAGAAAAACAUUUCUAAGAAAAUAAGUGAGUUUUUUAUUUAUGUAUUGUCGUUAGUAUGUAAAUAAAAACUAUAAUUACAAAUAUUUGUAUAUAAAUUAGAUAAAUAUUGUGGGAUGUAGUUGAGAAUCGAGAUAAGGGAAGGGGUGAUAGAGUGGUGAUGAUGGAGGCUAUAUCUAUAGAGAGGUAGGUAAAGACGAGGUAUGAUGUAUAAUGCGAUAUAAAAUGACAACUUAUUUUUUCUACUUCCAUUAAAUAUGUCCGUUUUAUAUUCUUAGCGAAGUUAUUUUCCUAAAAAAAAAGUCUUUUUUUCAUACUUUAUGUGUAGCACCAAUUAUUCACUUUAAUUGCUUUUCUAAAGUCUAAAUUUCAAUUGACAUGAAAUCAUAGUCCUUAAUUAAUAUGUAUUUAAUAUAAUAAUAAGAAUGUUGUCCCACUACUUACACACAAAAUUUUAGAGUGAAGUCUUUUCAAUGUUUAAUAAUCUUAUUGCUAAUUGUUUUCUUGUGCAACAAAUUAAGCCUUGCCGACACUUUUAUUUUCUUUAAUGUCCUUUUCAUGAUUGAGUUAUUAACAUGUGCCUAUGGUCCAAAUAAAUUGAUAUUUACAAAUCAAUUAAGAGUGUGACACUUACUUGAAUCAAGGGGCUCAUCAAAAAUACUUUUUAUAUAUAAAAUUAUAACAGAUUAAAUAUGUUAUUAUCGUUGUUAUAAUUAAAAGUGUGAUAUCACUAAUUACAAAACUAAGUUAUUGUCUAUGCGAAACAAGCUCGAAGAGUAUAGUAUUAAGAAAAUAGGAUUAGAGGAACUAAUGAAGAAAUCUUGAGGUAGAGAGACUUUAGGGUUAAUUAGGGGUGCAAAUAUUAAGUUUUAUAGCAACUUACAAUAUUGCGUGAAAAUGAAGAUUUCUUAUAGAAAAAAAAUAUAAUAUUGAAAUUAAAUUUAUAAAAUACGAGUACUAAACCAAUUGACCCGUUGGAAUUUCAACUUUUAUGAAUAAAAAUAUCAUGAUUAAUCUGACGUUGAAUUUAUACCAGUCUUGUUAUAGAUAGAUAAGCAAAAUUUUAUGAUUGUGUUAUGAAGUUCAACCUUAAAUUAUUUACUUUAAACUUACAAAAGUAAUCUUAAAUUUCAUGAAAAAUUGAGAUAAUAGUCAAAUGCUUUCCAAAUCUAUUAUCAAAUACAUAUUUAAUUAUUUAUAUUUUACGGGGUUCUAUUACCCUUCGAUUAUUCUUGCAAUAUUUUCUAAUUAAAUCCUUAUGUAUAUUGUGAUUUGUGAACGCGUUCGUUGUUGACCAAAAGCUAAAAAUACUUGUUCUUGGUAAGUUAUUUUAGGUUACAAUUAAACCUAUAGUUUUGUGAGUAACUUCAUAAUUAAAUCAAAUAACAAAGUAUCAUGUUGUUGCAAGCAUUUUGGAUCUUGUCCAACAAUUUUUAUGUUCAGAAAAGUACGUAUAUGUAAAUAAAACUUAUAAAAAAAAUCUUUAACUUCAUUUAACGUCAGAAUAUUAUACGAACAAUUAGCUAGCUAGGAGUUAUUUAGCAACAAAAUUAGCUACAAAUUAUUAAUAAAUUUCACAAUUAAUUCUAUAUUUUCUAGCAGCGUAGAGUUCUAGCUACAUAUUCAACCGAAAUCAUUAGUCCUAAUCAAAAUCUUGUAUUAUUAAGAUAUUUAUUGAAUAUGAAUAAAUAUUUUAUAUAGAACUGAAUAUACUAUCUUUUUUUUAAAAUGAAAAAUUAUAAAUUCAAAAUUUGGAUCGGUCUUUGAAGUUAGUAUAUAUAUAUGGACCCUUAAUUAAACAAAAUUCCAAUAUAUUUUUUAAGAAAUAAUUAAAAAGCAUGUUUCAUUGUCAGCAAUCUAGAUCUAGCAAUCAAUUUUCUUCAAUUUUGUGUUACUUUCAAAGACUCAACUAAUUAUUUUUACUCCACCAUUCACGGUAGGCCAAGAAAAAAUUGUAAGUUCUAGAUUAUUUGUCUUAAAAUAUUAUACUAUAUGAUUUUUUUAAAAAAAAAUAAUAUUCUGCAUGUAUAUAUAUAAACAUGUUGGAGAAAAAAGGAAGCGUGUUAAUAUGCUAUAUGUAUAGAUUUGGCCUUAGGGUAUGUGAAUAUAAGUGUUGAGACUGAUAUAUAUAAAUAAUAUUACAAUAAUAAUUGAGUUUAACACAAAUAUAUAUGUAUAGAUAUCUGGAUAUUAAUUUCUUCCUAUACAUGUAUAUGAUAUAAUCAAUAUUAUAUCAGUAAAGAACAUAUUAAUAUAUAAUUUUAUUUAUUUUUAAUUUAAGAUUAAAUCGUUCAAAAGACUUUUUUUUUUAAAAAUUUCGUGCUAGAUUAAAAUCAAAUAAACGAAAUAUCAAAUACUUCACUAAUAAAUAUUUAGUCCAAAUAAAUUUGUAAAAACCGGUGGGAGUGUGGGGUAAGCAGACAAAAAAUAUAUUCUUAGUUCUUUAUCUAGCUGGACCAUUUUCUUUUUAUUAAUUUCUUGUUGCUAUUUUUAUUUUUCUCUUUAAAAAAGAAAAUUAUGCGUUUAAUUAUGCUUAGAUUUUUCUUGUCGAAUCGAUUUUAAUUAUGAGUUGUGUGUCGGUACCUAAAUUAUAUUUCGUCAAAUCACAAGGUGUAAUGUGUAGACUUUUUAAGAAUAUGUCCGAGUCAAAUAGCAAAUUAAAUUAGGAACAAAUAUAGAAAAUUAAGAUUUAUAUUUUACUUUUUAAUAAAUAAUAUUUCCUCUGUUUCAUUUAUGUAGGGGUGUGCAUCGAUCGGUUCGGUUCGGUUUUACAUAUAAUCGGUUCGGUUUAUCGGUUUUUGGUUUUAAAAUAUGCUAACCCAAUAACAAAUCAAUAAGAAUUUUUUUAUCGGUUUAUCGGUUUUUGAUGUUAUCGGUUCGAUUUCGGUUAACUCAAUAAGAAAAUGUUGAUCAAAUAAUAUAUAAUAGUACGUAUGUUAUAAUUACAUGUUACCAACUUACCGACAAAACAUAAUAGAAAACAUUGAAUGUUGAUCAAAUUACUAACGUUCACAAACUUGCAAAAGCUAUUUCCUACAAUUACGAACUAGAAUUAAACUAAAAUAAAAUAUUUCAAUGAGACAAUCUUGAACAGAUGUUUGAUCCACCAGAUAAUCAACAAAGUUCUCACCAAUUUCCUAAUCAAAAAAUCACAUAGCCUGAAAAGCUAAUAUUAAAUCUAUUUAUGUAAUAAAUUAUGUAUAUUUAAUAUUGAGGAAGGGUAAAGUAGUAAAUAACUAUCGUCUUAUUGGGUUAUCGAUUUACCCAAUAACCCAAUAGGAAAAACCGAAACCGACCCAAUAACCCAAUAAUUAUUUUUUCUAAACCCAUUAAAAAUCCAAUAACUUCAAUAACAAUAACCCAAUAACAUUUUAUCGGUUCGGUUUAUUGGUCGGUUCGGUUUUUGCACACCCCUACAUUUAUGGGACAGUUCAAAUAAGUCUAUUUUUAGUAGUAAACUUUUAUAUAUCUUUGAAAUAUUUUAAAUUGUCAAUUAUUAUUAUUUAUAGUACUUUUACAUAGUUUAUAAAUAUAUAAAUUCCAUUUCAGAAAAUUCGAAGAAUAUAUGUGUAAAUUCGCCGUCAAACUUAAAUUGUUUACCUCGAAAAAUAAAUUAUGUUACCUAAAUUAAAAUAAUUAAGAAAAUAUUAAGAAUGGCAAAUGAACAAAUUAAACUUGAAAGGAUCAAAUUAGGCUGAGUUAAUAAGCCAACAUGUAUUAUAUGGUCCACAAAUAUGAUGAAAUAUAUGAAGGAAUCCACUUUAAGAAAAAAUGACAUUACCUUUUGAUUUGUAAAGGGCUUCAUAUACUGGCAAAUGUUUUUGAAAAAGCAGUAACAGAUAAGAACUGAAAAUAGUGAGUAUAUGUCAGCAUAGUAAAAAGGCAAAUAAAAAACAGAAAAAAAAAACUAAACACAAAAAUGAAAAAUAUAUUAGUAUUUGUUCUUGAAUUGUUAUCCGAUAUUUAUAUUAAAAUUUAAUUAAAUUUAAAUUUAUUUUGAAAAAUCUUAUAUUUAGGAAUAACGAUAUGUUAAUCAAUCAAAAAUAAAAAAAUAUUUAUCACUCUAUUACGACCAUAAAUAAUUAUUACACACAUAUUUUCUGUCAGUUUUUUAGUUCUAUGAUUGGGUAAAACAGCCUUUGAAAGGAUUCAUUUUGUACUUUCAGAUUUGCUGUCUGAGGUUGGCCGAUAGUAAUUUUUAGCCGUCCAUAGAAAAUUAUAUUGUUUAUAUAUAAUUAUUAAAUAAUAUUUUUUAAAUUUAAGUAAAUAUAGUAAAUAUCAAAGUCUCUUUAGCUUCUUUGUAUUUAUAUUUUUUAAUAUUUUUUAUUUUUCUAUUAAAAAUUCUGACUCCAUCGCUAUAAUUACGAUUGAGAAAAAGAAAAAAAUUGGAAACUAAGAUAGCUUCACAUGUACAUAUAGCAAAAAAGAGGUUGUUGAGAUAGCGAAACCAAAUUUCUAUCUUAAAAGUACAAAAGACCCUUUUUCUUAAUUGAUUAUAACUUCAAAAUAUACAUAUUUUGAAUGUUAAAUUUACUAUUCAUGGAAUAUAUGUUCUUCAUAUUUUAUAAGUUGAAGUGGUUAUAUUUCCUUUUUAUUAGUCCAUCUAGAUUAGAAAAAUAUAUAUAUAGGAAAGGGAAAAAAACAUAUUACAAAUCAAAGAACUAAGUAAAAGUAUAUAUAUUUCUACAUGUAUAUACACAAGAAUAACAUACUCAAAAUCAUCUUAUAACUAGAGUUCGAAGAAGAUGACAUCUAUCGGACCUUAGCUUAUCCCUACUUUAUAUAACAGAGAAAUUAUUUUUGAUUAUCGAUAGAUCACUUUUUAGAUACGUAUAAAAUAGAAAUGUAUAAAACUUAUCUUCUAGAAAUAUACGAACAUAUUUUUUUAGCAUAAAAAUAAUGGUUAGAGUUUUAUACUUUAGUUGUACAAGACAAAGAGUAGAAAUAAAUAAGAAAAAGACACAUGAUGCAUGAUUCAUGAGUGGCCUAUUAAAAUAGUUUAAGUUAUUAAGUAGUACUUAUUUAACGUAUUCUUAAAGUUGUAUAUAUCUUUCCCUUUAAUCAUGUGUUAAGUUACCUUUUUACUAUUUAUUAUGUGAAGCUUAUGAUUAUACAUCACUUUUUUCUGUCUAAAUAUUAAUACUUUUGAGAACCAUUAUUUUACAUACAUAUAAAAAAAAAAUUAUGUCGGACAGCCGCAUUAUGAAUUUUACAAACAUUUUAAUUUUUCUUCAAAGUGUAAUACAAUAAAUAAAUAAAUAUAUAUAUAUAUAUAUAUGAAGUUUUACAAGUAUCGAUAGCAAAAGUUUAAGAGGAGAAAUGUUAUAAGUUAUUAAAAAUCUUAGAAAAAGAUGAAGGUAAUUCUGAUUAUAUAUGUUGAUAAUUCUCUCAACUACUUGCAAUGAGUCAAAUAAUUACGUUUAAUUCCUAUUCGAUAUUAAGUAUCUAUGUUAAGAUUUAUUUAAAUUUGGGUUUUAGUAGGAAAAAUUUCAUAUGGAAUAUGAUUAUGUUAAUGUAUUUUUUUAAUAAAGACAAAUCUAAAUUGAGAUUCGAAAUAUAUAUUUUUUUUAAAAAAAAUCUUUAUUACCGACAUAUAUAUAUAUAUAGCUUAUAUCAAAUUAAACAAGAUAAAAGACAUAAGAUUAAUCUUGAUGGAAUCAUCAUUGUUGUUCCAAAAUAUUACAAUUUAUGAUUUGAUUUUUUUUUUCCUUAAAUCCUACAUCCAAUAAUACCUUAAAAGUACAUUAUUAUAAACCCCACUUUUCAUAGAUCUACACUUGCCAUUUCCACCCUCCUCUAAUUUUCUUAUUUUUUUUAUAAAUAUAAAAUUCUAUUCCUAUACUAAAAAUAAACAAGUAAACAUAAUUUUGAUCCAAAUAUUACAUCAUAAAAAACAAAAAAAAUGAAAAUAAAAGGUAAAAUAGACUUUUUCACUUUUCCCCUUCACUUUCCUUUUUUACCCUUGAUUGAAUUCCAUAAUAACUAACAUACCACUUCACAAAUUUCCUUAACCCACUUGACAAAUCAGUUGUUGGCUUAUAUCCAAAAUCCCUCAACGCCAGGCUCACGUUAGCAUGUGUAAACGGAACGUCGCCGUUUCGUGGCAUUUUAAUAAAAAAUUUUUUAGCCUUAAGAUUUAAUAAAUUUUCGAGAAUUGCCACCAACUUCUUCACCGACACUGGUGAAGUAUUCCCCAAAUUGUAAACCCUCAAUUGCGCCGGACCUCUCUUCUUUCCGCCGCUCCCGGUGCUCUUCUCCGCCGUAUCCAACGCGCCGACGCAUCCUUUUACUAUAUCAUCAAUGUACGUGAAGUCACGCGCCACCUCUUUAUCAUCCUGAGUGACGUACACGUUAAUCGAUUUCCCCUGAAUCAUAUCCUUUGUGAAGAAGAAAUACGCCAUGUCUGGUCUUCCCCAAGGUCCGUAAACAGUGAAAAACCUCAAACCUGUUAAUGAAAGCCCGUAGAUAUGGUUAUAUGUAUGUGCAAUUGCUUCCCCUGCUUUCUUCGUUGCAGCGUAUAAACUAGCUGGUUGAUCUGUUCUGUGAUCUUCGGAGAAUGGAACUUUGGUGUUCAAUCCAUAAACAGAGCUCGAUGAAGCCCAGACUAUCGCUGGUUGUGGAUCUGCAGCUUUAGCUAUUUCUAACAGAUUUACAAACCCAGCAACGUUUGAGUUUACAUAAGAGAGAGGAUUCUGCAUCGCGUAACGAACACCUGCUUGUGCAGCUAGAUGAAGGAUAUGAGUAAAAGGAACAAUGUCGAAAAGCUUUUUCAGAAGCUCUGUAUCGUUAAUAUCACCUUCUACAAUGAAAAUCUGAUGCUUCGAUAACUGAUCUUGACGAGCACGUUUCAACGAAGGAUCGUAGUAUGAAUUGAAAUUAUCUAAACCUAAAACACCAUCACCACGCUUCUUCAAUGCUAAAGAGCAAUGAGAACCAACGAACCCAGCUGCUCCCGUCACGAGGACGGAUAGCCCGUUAGGGCGGUGGGGUGUCGAGGAGUGACGAACUUGUUUCUCCCACGACGCCCCACCGCCGUAAAUCGCGGAGGAUAGAAGGUUAUGGGUAGUGGUGUGAAUAUUAUUGUUGAAUGAUUUUUCGGAAGUUAACGGAGGGUAAUUUAUAGUGAAGAAGAAAAUAAGUAAAAGAGCCACUAAUAAAGUGACACGAAAUAAAAGCUUAGACGAUGCAGCGAUGAGUUUUGUACUAUUAACUCUUCGAAUAUAGCUAUUGUAGCGCUCUAGUUUUGUGGUUUUGCUUGUGUCAGGUGGCGAUGCCAUUAUAGUUUUCAUAACUUUAUAUAUGUAUAUGAUAUAUCAAUUUGAUUUAUUUAUCGCUUUGAUAUUGCAGAGAGUAUACGAAAGAAAGGCUAAUGGUGUUAUUGGAAAAUGGGGAGUGCUUUGGAUUGAGCAAGCCCCUGAGGAAAGAAGAGAUGAUGUUUAUAAAGGAAGAAGGAUUGGUGUGUUUGUGUGAAAAAAGGAAAAAAAAAGAGUGGUGGACCAAAGAGAAGGAGAGUGGUAUUGAGUUGUAGUUGGUUGGAGGCCACUUUCUUUUUUUAGUAUUCUACAAUCUAUAUUUUUAAAAUUAAAAAAAAAAUAAAGUGGAAAAAAAUUAGGUGAAUUGGUUUAUGAAUGGUAUCUAUGACUAUUUGAUCUCCAUUCUCUAUAAUAUUUUGAUCCAAAAUUUGAUCUUUAAGUUUAUGUUUGACUUGAUGUAAGUUUGAAAAUUUUUUAUUAGUACUCUCCUUGUGUUUUUUUUUCCUCUUCUAUCUUUUUAUUACUUUGUGAUUAUAUCUCUUUCACUUAUAAAUUACACUUUCUUUAAGAACAAAAUGAAGCUAAUGUUAUUUCAAGGACAUUAACUUUACUAAGGGUAAAUGAGACUAAAAUAUUUAAUAAUUUCAUUUUAAUUUUAUGAAAUGAUAAAUAAAUUGCGACAAGUACUUCUAAUAGUCUUGACAGUUAAUAUGAAAUAAAGAAAGUAUAAUUGAUUUAAUGUUGGAGAAAUAAUUUGAAAUACUUUAAAUAUGAAUAACAUGAGUAAAAUAUACAUAAAAUGGUCAAUCAUCUCUUAAUUUUUUUAAUUUGAUAAAAAUGGGCAUAUUUAUAAUAUCACAAACAAAACGUGAUGAAAAAUAAAAACAAAUGAUUUGUAGAAAAUGCAUGAUACUUAGAUUUUACUCUUACUUUCGAGAGUUAGAAAGGCAUGUAGUAUAUUUUAAUGAAAUUUCGAAAUGCACAAACCAAAUAUCUUGGAUAGUACAUUGGAAUUUGGAUACUUAGCUAAGCACAUUUAAUGAAACAUAAGAUUACAUCUAGAAGUGGUGAAACAUAAGUAAUUUUAUAAUAUCAUUAUAAAAAUGGAUCAAGGAAAUAAUUAUAGAUUUUUGGUUAAGAAAUGACUAUUUGACUCUCACGUCUCGAGAGUGAAUAGUAAUUAGGUCAUACUCAGUAAAUAACAAUAACUUGGCAUUAAAAAAAAAAUUACAAGUAGCUAUAUAGAUAUAAAUAAUAAAAUACUACAUUAGUGAGUAAUUAGAAUUUGUUUUCUAGGAAUAAGCCAAAUUGGUCCUCCGACUUUUAGAUAUUUAUACAAUGGUCCUUGCAUUUAUGUUAGGGUUGAAAUGCCAGCUAAAAAUUGACUCAAAUUUGUAUAAAGAAUCUCAAAACCAUGUGAGACACACAUGAGGAAUUUAUUACAAGUGUAAACACUGAUCCUUGACUUACGUACUCUUAUUCAACAUUAUACAACUAACGAACGGAAUAUGGUGGAUUGAUAUAACUGAUUAACUUUUAAUUAGAGAUUAUAUCAAAUUUUGAGUUCUAAAUAUGAAAAGUAUCAUGUUGAGAACGAACGAACAUUACAAUAUGUGAUUCAUUUUCAUUAAAGUAUAAAACUCAAUCGUUAAAAAUAAAGCAUGAAAAGAGUAUGAUAUAACAAAUCUUAUUUUUAUGGAAAUAAAGAGAUUUUUCUAAUAAAUUUCGGUUCAAAAGAAUAGUUUACGAAGCAAGAUUUGCCAGAAUAUAUGAUAAGAUACAAGGCAAAUGAAAUAAGUAGUAAUAGAUAUAUUGAAGAAUAAGAGACUGUGAAAUAGUUUAUAAAAAAAUAAAAAAAAUGUUUAAGUUAAUUAGAAAUUACUAUUGUUGAUUUAAUUGAUCAUUUGUCUACAAAAAUAAUGACUUUAAAAAUGGAAUUGAAAAGUCAUUAUCCUCUUGUUUUACUUCAUUAUUAUUAUCAUUUUAUGUUGUUGCUUUCCUUUUUCCUUAUUUUAUCUUUUAGUAAUAAUUUUUUUAUAUUUAUUAGGAAUAUAAAGUGUACGACCGUUUGUGUGUCACCGACAAAAUAUUUUAAACUAGAAUAGGCAAUUCUAAUUAUUAAUGAUACACACCUAUUUAAUUAAUGAAGGGUUAUAAAUGGUUUAGAUCUAGGGUUAUAAUUUGGACAUAUUAAAAAAAAGUUCUAUUAUUUGUCAUAUUUUGUUAUGUUUUUGGAACUAUUAUUCUUAAUUGAAGUGCUAAUAGAGCCUGCACAGAAUAGCCAAUAAAUGUGUCAAAAUCGAUAAAUCGACUAUAUAUAUUUUAACGUGAAUCACAUAAAUUAUAUAGUAAGACAUACAUCAAUAUAUACAAACCAAAUUUAAUGUCACGAAAUAUUUUAUUUUAUGUUUUUUAUAUUUACAUUAUUUGUUGAUUUUGAAAUUUUGAGAAUUUAUUGAGAGACUGAACCUUUAGGUAUAGGCACAUUCAUCAUCACAGUGCACUGGGAAAUACAACGUGCAUGUGCAUGGGUAGUGAGUGACAACGUAGUUUACGUAACAAAUUCAUUGAACUAACUUUUAAUUCUAUGUAUAAUAAUAAUAUUACUAAAUAUAUUUUGCUGAUUUUACAAAAAUUGUCUUUUUAUAUCAAAGUUUCAUAUGGAACGGUUCGGCCAAAAUUGUCAAGGCACUUGGUCAAAGUUUAAAUCAUAUUAGGAAAAUAUUUAAGUAGCCUCUCAACCUAUGUCCGAAAUUCCAGAGACACACUUAUACUAUACUAAGGUUCUAUUACCCCUCUGAACUUAUUUUAUAUGUAAUUUCCUACCCCUUUUUAGCCUACGUGGCACUAGUUCGAAAAAAAAUCAACCAUCGUUGGGCCCACAAAAUAGUGUCACGUAAGCUAAAAAGGGGUAAAAAAAUAUUAAUAAAAUAAGUUAAGGGGUAAUAGGACCUUAGUAUAGUAUAAGUGUGUCUCUGAGAUUUCGGGCAUAGGUUGAGGAGUACUUGGGCAUUAUCCCAAUCAUAUGAACUAACACUAUAAGAGAUAUUGAUGAACAUGGUUUGUGAUCGAUUAAUCGAACGUUUCUUAUUAAUUAGGUAUUUUAGUCCCUUUUUAUUGUAAAUUUUCCGAUCAUACCAAUCGUAGUUUCAUUAUUCUCAUAGUUUCAUGUCACCAAAUAAUUUUGUUAUUAUCUAUUGUUUUUUUGUAUUUCGGCUAUAUAAUUACAUUAUUUUUUAUUGUCUUGUUUGAUCAAUGUCGUGUAAUUAUUUUCCCUAUUGUUUGUUAUAUAUAUAUAUAUAUGCUGUUUUUUUCGAAAUUAUUAUGAUAUAUGUUAUUUGAAUCGAGAGAUUAUCGAUAACAUCCUUAUGAGAUAACAGUAAAUUAAAAUAUAUCUAUUUACUCUAUACUUCACGAAUUUUAUUAUGAUAUUAUACUGAAUAUAAUAUUGUUAUUAUAUAGUUGAUUUUGAGCAUGAGAGACUGCCAAAUUAAAUGUCUCCAAGUAAGAAGUGGAACUCAUAACAAAAUUGCAUGUUACGUCGGUGUUGUUGACAUUAAAAUAAAUACUAUAUACCAAUUAGAGGAGAAAAGGCAAAUUAAAUGAAGGUUCACUUCAUACACACAUAUACAUCAACUUCACUUUUUAUCACAUGGAGGCAAAAAAUUAAUAGAACAUUGAAGAAGGAGUUGUGGGAAUAGAGAUGGGGACCCUAGGGGGGUGGGGGGUGGGGAAUAUGGGGAUUCAAGCCACUCAAAAUAUUAUAAAAAUUUAAAACAAAUUAAAAUUGUCAAAUAUACCUAAGUUGAGUUGUAAAGGUAUCAAAGAUACCUUGUUAAAAUGAAAAUCAUACGAAGAAUCAAGAUUUUUUCUUAAUAAUCGAAUACUUUUGUCAGUAAAUAAAUAUCGAUUAAUUGAGUUUGUAUCACAAAAAGAAGAGUGUAUUGUAGCAUAUAAAUAGCUUGUUCAUAUAUAAAUUCAAUAUUUUAUCGUUUAGAACUUUAUAAUUUUUUUUAAAAAUAAUUUAUUUUUUUAAUCUUGAAAAUUCAACUAACGUAUAUAGUUGAAAAUCUUGAAUUCUCUUUUAGGGGAAACACAAUUCUAGUUAAAGAUGGAGGAAUUUUAUCAUCCGAUCACAACUCUUAAUGGAAGCCCAUAAAUAUUUUAAUUUCACGAAUUAAGACAAUUAAUAUUUUACUAUUCAAUUUUUGCUUUUAUUAAUAAUGGAUUAUAUCUUAUCAAGAAAUUGAUUAAUACCUAUAUUAUACACUAUGCAAAAGACAAUUGAAAAAAUAAAAUUAUAAGCCAACAGUACUACAUUAAAGAUUUGAUCUAUCAUUUAUUGUGUUAAAUAAAUAAAUUGAAUAAUUAGAGUUAGGUCGACUUUAAUUUGAUGGGGCUAAGGUUGGCUCAAUAUUGGAAUAUAAAAGAUAUUAACUGUUUUGUUUUUAUAUUUUUGUACUUUUAGAAUUUCACUUAUUAUAUAUGGCCUUAUCUAACAAGUAUGUACUAUCCAAUAUGUACUAACUCUUAAUGUCAUUUUUAGCAUUUAACAUGAUUAUUUAUACGAUAGUGAUGGUCAAUAAGAUAAUUAUAAAUAAGAAAAAUAGUUUGAAGCAGAUUAAUGAUGUCUAGAUUAAUAUGUUGAUUUUACACAUAUAUGUAGUACAUGUAUCAUAAAUAAAUUAAUGUACCUUAGAAAUUCAUUGAAGUGACUUAUUCAAAUGGAAAUUAAUACAAAGAUGAUUAAUUUGAUAUGCUGUUUUUUUUUUCAUUUUCAAAAAUUUGAAUUUAAGAACCUAGAUAUAAUUGUGUCAUAUUUGAGUGAUUACAUGAAUGUUAGGUUCAAAAGAAAAAUCUGAUAAAUAGAGGAAUUGACUGAAAUCCAUCUUUAAGUUUUUUUAUUACCAUUAUUCCCUAUUAGUUUUAUAAAUUCCCAAAAUUUCUCAUCUUCGUGCAUCAAAGUAUGUAUCAAUGCAUCAGAUUAAUGUAUCUCGCGCAUCAGAUUAGUAUAUCAUGUAUAAAAUGUAAUGUAUCUUAUUUAACGAUUAAUGUAUCUCGCACAUCAGAUUAAUGUAUCAAUGCUUAUAUUAUUGUAUCAGUUUGAAAAUUUUUUGUAAUUAUAAAUAUAUAAGAUACAAAUAGUAAUUUUACUUUAAAAAUAUGUGAUUUCAAUCCUUGUUCUUUGAUAUUUUAUGAUAAUUUUUCUUUGAGGAACCAUAAGGUAAAAGUGGAGCUUUAUUCAUAUAUUAAAAAUAGUUAAAUGAAAUAAAAUAAUGAAAAAAAGGAACCAUAAUUUCCAUUUGCCUAGAAACAUAAUUUCGAUGAAUAGAAUUAUUUAAUAAAAUAGUUAAAAUGCGAACAAAUUAAUCAAUCAUUACCGAUCAAACACAAAGAAAGAAACACAAAUUCUGAUAAAUUUGAAAAAAAUAUAUAAAAUCAAUUGCAGAUUUUAUAUUUUAUUUUACCUUCCUAAUUUUAAAUGCUGAUCUUUAUUAUUACUCCUAGACCUUCUAAAUAACCUUAUCCAACUCAGGAUAUUUCAAAUGAUCAUGAUAUUGACAUAUUGAUGUCACUGGAUUUAUUUAUUUAUUGUUACUCACUUUUUAUUUUAUUUUUUUCCUAAAGUAAAAUUGAAAAAGUUAUUAAUUAAUUGAUGCCCAUUUCCUUGUCAAUCAUUGAAUUAGAUAUGUGCCGACACUCUUAACGAUGACCAAUUUCAAUCCUCUUCAUAUUAGAAAACAAAACAACAAAUCAUUUUAUAAUAGUUCGAUAUUUAAUUUAUAUUGAUAUCUGAUUAAAUUUAAUUUAGAGAAUAGGUAAUGUGAGAGUAAACAUAAUCUAUUGGACAUAGUAGUAUAGUGAUAUCAGAUAUGUAUGUUUUUUUUCUAAAACUAUAAUGUGACAAAUUAUUAAUUAAAUGAAAUAAAUAGAAGAUGUGUUUGCUUUUAAAGGGUACCCCUACAAAGAUUUAAUUGAAGCCCACAGUUUUCAUAGAAUUUUUAGGGUUUUGAAAAUAAUGCAUGGUCCUUAUUUUUCUUGCUUUCACAACAUUGAUUUAUGGUUGGUUGAGUGAGAGGUGGAGGGAGCCAUAUUAAUUUUGACUUUCAAAGGGUUUGUUCGAAAUAAAAUAUAUUUAUACGAACAGAUUAUUUAUAUAAUUAAAUAUCAAUAUUAUUGUUGUUGUAAGUUUCAAUAAUGAUAUUAUCAUCUUUUAAUUUAUUAUUACAAAGUUAAAUUAAUGAUAUUAAAAAUAUUUAUAUAAUAUGAUUUUUAUAUAUACAAUUUAACCAAAUCCUUAUCCUUUUAGCAUAAAGUUGUGAUGUAAUUUUCAUUGGGACUACCCUAUAUACUAUUCUGAGUAAUUGGACUACCUUGUCGUCCUAAAUGUGCAAGUAGACAAGUUGGAAGUACAAAUAUUUAAUUAUUCUAUCUUUUACGAUUUUUGUUUGAUCAUAAAAUUUUAUUUUAUUUAUUAGUUAGUAUUACUGUUUAAUUAUGAAAAUUUUAAAUUUAGUUUAAUUUUUUUUUAUUUUUUACUAAUAUUUAUCAUUUACAUUGGAGCUCGACUAAAGACCUCCUAACAAAGACGAGUACGUAUUGACAGAGACUCAAAUUCGAGAUCUUUGUUUAAGAAUGAAGAGUACUUACACUCCAUCACAAUUCUUAUCUAAAGUCAUAUUUCAUUUUAUUUAAAAAAAAUUAUAUUUAUAUAUACAUAUACUAACUACAUGUUAACUUCAUUCUUCUUCUUUUUAUAUAUAUUUUAAUUUAAUAUUUUUAGAAAUAAGAAUCAUUAAUCGUGGUAGACAUGACAUGUUCUCUCUUUCUUUUUCUUUGUUGAGUAAAACCAAAAUAAUAAUUAUGAUAAUUAACACUGAAAAUCAUAAAGGUGGUAGUAGUAUAUUCAAAGCUUCAAUUUUUGCAUUUGUUUUUCUACAUUUAAUUUAUUCUUUCUUUUUAGAUUAUAUUUGCAAAUGGACAACUUAGGAUUUGCAGGAGUAGGACGAUAAAAUUCUAUGAAACAACUAAUUAAUGAGAACUGACAAAAAAAAAAACAAUGGGACAUUGUAUCAGUAAAACAUGUUACAUAUGCAAUAUAAUAAUCCAGAGUGUCUACCUCAAAUAAAAUUAACGGAUUGUAUCAAUUGGUUAUGUCGAAUUAUAUAAAAUUUAUGAAAGUUAAGUAAUUUAAUGAGCUAAGAAUGCUUGUCAAUAAUUACAAUUACGUGUUAUUUUGUUCGUUUCAUCUUAGUUAUUAUGUUUUGUAUUUUAAAUAUAUAUUAUUGACUUAAUUUAAAUAAUAUAUGUCAUUUAAUUUUUAAAUAAUUUAUAAAUUUUAAAUUUUGAAUCUGUUUUUCUGUUUAUACGAAGGAUGAGGGCACCCCUGAGCUAUAAGGACAAACCAAAAUCCACAGCGAUUCAUUUGUCCUUAAAUGUGCAAGUGGACUAGCUACUUGAACACCAAAGUCUUCAAAGACACACACUGUAUACUCCACUUAUCAAUAUCUCUCGAAACGAAUUCAGUAUUUAAAUUUUAUCGUAAGUAUUUUAUAAUUUAUUUGAUUUUUUCGAUUCAUAACAUAUUCCUUGAACUUCAUAUGUGUGUGUAGGGUUUGAGGUUAUAUUUACAAUUUGCAUUGAACCUCAAUUUAGAACUUCAAUUUCAUAUUAAAAAAAUUCAACUUACGAAAUAAAAACGAUUCUACAUCCAAAAAUUGAUCAAAAGCUUCUAAUUAAAAAUUAAAAAAAAAAGAUUUAUCACUCAAAUACAAUUUUUAUUAGUCGAAGAAAAUGAGUUGACGUAGUAAGAAAUGUCGUUUCAUUAGGUAAAUAUAAAUUUUAAGAAAAAAGCCAAACGACAAAAGUAGGAUGUCCAAAUUCCUUUUUGCUAUAUAUUUAUAUAUUCUUAUAUCACCUACUAUAUCAUUUUAUUUUGUUUUUAUGACCUAUAUAAUUAUUUAAUUUUUUUUAUAACCUAUCAUUACUAUACACACGUCCAUGAAAAAAAAUGUCGGUAGAGAACUAUAGUCCACAAGAUACUUUUAUUGAAACUUAUGGGGUUUUAAUGUAAUUUCAUGAACUAUAAGUUGUGUAUGUAUAAUUGAAUUACAUUCCCUACACAUUGACCCCACACGUUUAUAAAUGUGAUAGACACGUCCCAUCCUAUUUUUUUGUUUUGUUUCUUCAAAUAGAUUUUUCUCAUUAUUUAAUUAUGUUUUGUCACUUAAAGAAAUCGAACACAACAAUAACAUACCUAGUGAAAAUUUUCAUUACGUAAGAUCUGAGUAUGAUAGGUUUCACGCAAAUUUUAUAUCGUAGAGAUAGAUAAAAUGUUUUAGAUCUUGUGACACCUUAUCUAAGUUAAUGAAGUCUUACAUCGGCCUAAAUAUGAGAGAAAUAUAUUUAAUAUAUAAACAAGCAGGUCAUACAAAUUAGUGAUGUGAUUUAAAGUCGUAUGAAUUUAGACCCAGAGUGGAUAAUAUCACUAGUUAUUACAAAAUAACUUGUGGCUAGUAAAUUUUUGAUAAUAUAUAUUGUAGGUUCAUCAUCAUUAAAUAGAAUAAUUAGUGGUGAAUCUUAAUUAGACUUACAAUCAGCUAUUCAACACAUAUAAUUGAGAGAGAAAAUGAUUGAAAUUGUAAUUUGUUGACUAAUUAAGAGUUGAAUUUUAGGGCUUAAAUAUUUUAUUUUUAUAAACUUAUGUUCCAAACUUUAUUUUCCACGACAUGGAGAAGACUACGUAUAUGUUGACUUUUGUUACUAAUAUUGUUAAUUGAUUGAAAUACUCACGUAUUAUUUUUUUUUCAAAUUUUCAUCAUUUUAUUCCAAUAUUAAGUAAACUUUGCUUCUUUUAUUAAAUUGGUUAAGCAUCAGGUGUCUCAUUCCCAUCAUGUUUAAUAGAUGAAGAUAAUAUUUAUUUUUCAAUUUCAAUUUUGUACGAUUGUUAUCCACUAAUUUUUUUAAUAAUCACUUAGAUUUAAUAUGUUCAAUUUAGCUACAACACAGUGUUUAGAGUCUAAUGAUAUCGAUGGAAAUCUCUCAUAAUAAUGAGUGUGAGUUCGAUUCUCGUUAAUCCGAUAAGUGUGAGUUCGACUCUCGUUAAUCCGUUCUUCCCCUCUAUUGGUCCCUAUGUAAUAAAAAAUAAGAAAAAUGUUUAACUUAAAAAAAAGAAAAAAACCUAAUAAAUAUCAAUAUCUCAAAUAACAUUUAUUUUAUUUUGGUAUAUAUAUAGGUCAAAAUGUCAAUAUUUUAGCAUUUAAGAGGACUCAUUAGCAAUAAUUUCAAUAUUUAGUAAAAAUGUCAUUUUAGUUUGUUAUGUAUCUUAUUUAUGUUUUUAUUAUUUAUUUUUAUUUAAAGAAUACAAUUAUUUAAUAACAAAGAGGAGAAAAUUAAGGGGGGAAUUAUUUCAAAAAAAAGACAAGCAUCCUUAAAUUUCUCAUCAGUUACAUUUUCAAAUAAAAUUUAAAUUUUGUUUUUUUUUCUCCAGAAUUUUUGCGUUUUUAAAAUUAUAUUCAUUCCACAAUAUAUUCUAUUUAUAUUUAUUAUAAUUUUUUAUUAGUUUGUAUUCAUUCCAAUAGGUAUGCCGAAUUUAUCUAUAUAGUCAUUUAAGAAAUAUAUUUGUAUUUUCAUAUAUUUUUUCCCUAUAUAGUUAUUUUUUUCUUCAAAAAUCUUGUAUGUAUUCAUUUCAAUAUGUAUUUUAUUUGUAUUUCUAUUUAUUCUAGUUUUUAUUUAGAAUUUUGUAUAAUAAUAUAUAAAAUACAAAAAAUUAGUAUGAUGAAAAAGUGAAUGAAAUAUAAAAUUGAAAAGAAAUAAUUGAACAUUUGGUGUACUCAUUCUUAAAUAAAAUACAUAACUAGUUGACAUACCUUUAGAAUAAAUACAAAUUAAAAAAAAAUGUCAAAUUCAGUUGACAUACCUUUAUUAGUUUGUAUUCAUUCCAAUAUGUAUGUCAAAAAUAAAAUGUAGCUAUUUAAGAAAUACAUUUGUAUUCGUAUAUAUUUUUCACUGUGUAUUUAUUUUUCUUUUCAAAAUCUUGUUUCAUUUUCUUAGUCGUAUUUAUUCUAAUAUGUCUAUUAUUUGUAUUUGUAUUCGAAGACAAAUAAACUAAUAGAAAGUUGUUCUUCUUAUAAAUAAAAUACAUAACUAGUUGACAUACAUUUGGAUGAAUACAAAUUAAGGACAAAUACAAGAUUCAUAAACCAUGCAACAUGAAAUUUUUAAUAAAUACAAAUAUUGAUAGUAUACAUAGUGAUUUGAAUACAAAUUAAGAAAGCAUACCAAAUUCUAAAAAGGAACUAUAAAUACAAAACAAACUAAUAGAAAAUUGUUCGACAACUAUCCGAUCUUCGUCGUCUUUUUCAAGAUCCUCACGAGUAGACAAAGAUUCUACAUUUGCGUUCUAAAUUUGAGGAAGGUUUUGCACACCAAUGAGUCUUGUAAAUGUUCUUACCCUCUUUCUUCCCUCAUUUUAGCAGCGGAUCAUACAUUAUACAUUAUUUGUUAAGUAAUAAAUAAAUUAAAGGAUGAAAAAUCACCAGAAAUUGGUUGAUUAAGAUGAAUACCUCUAGUAAGCCUCUUAGAUUCAGCCAUUGAAGAGUAAAUCAGAAAUUGAAAAAUACAAACAACAUUUUUUUAAGAUUUAAACAAAAAUAAAAUUAGAAAAGAAAUCUGAAUAUAGGAUAAAGAUUAGAGAUACCUUAAUCAAAGGGAUUCUUGUUGAUUCAAUUUUGGAUUAAAAAAACAAUCAAAAUAUAUGGCAAAAAAAUAUUUACAACUUGAAUGUUGGAGGAAAAAUCAGAAAAGAUAACCAUGAGAGAGAGAAAAAAUUAAAUGGGAAAGAGAAUUAACAAUUUGAAAAGAUAAAUAUGAGAGAGAAUGAUUUAUUUAUUUUUUAAAAAAAAUAUAUAGAAUUAAUUGAAAAAGAGAGAUAAAAUAGGAAGAAAAUUGGGACACAUAAAUUUUUUAAAAUAAUGACAUUUUUGACAUUAUUGCUAAUAUUUAUUAAGUAUGGAUAUUUUUACUAAAUAUGUUAUUUAUUUUGAUUAGUUUACUAAUUUUUCCAUAUAUAUAUAUGUGUGUGUUUUUAGUGAUGUAAUUGGAUAAUAAAGGAAUAUCUAAAAUCCAAGUACACAAAAGGCCCACCCACAUGCAAUGGAUUAAUAAGUCAAUACUUUGAGUUGCUAUCAUCUUCUUAACGUAUUUCUUAUCUCAAAGUCACAUUCGACUUUUUUGAAAUUAAAAAAAAAGAGACAAAAAGUAUUUUUAGUUACCAAGAUCUCAACUAUCAUAAUCAUCUUAUGUACUGUUUUCCACCCUACAAACUCUUGAUAAAUUCCAUGAGAUAGUAGUAAAAUUGGAGGAAAACAGCUAACUUGAAAAUGAGGUUGAGAUGGUUCGGAUAUAUGAACAGAAGAUAUAGAAAUGUCUUAAUCAGGUUGUGUACUGAGAGGUAGAGAAACGCUAAAAAAGUAUGUGACUAGUGAUUACAUAGGACAUGACACAUAUGUAAUUUAUCGUAGACGUGACCCUAUAUGAGGAUAUGGAGUAAAUAUAAAUAGAUAGUUUAUAGUCGAGUACGGUCUAUUCCUCUUAUUGGCAUAUAACUAUUAUGACUAGCUCUCACUACCUUGUUGUUGUGACCGCGUGUUCUUUUCUUGCUUCUUCGGUUUUCGUAAUCUUUUACGUUGUUAUUAUUAGUUUUUACAUUAUAUUCUUAAUUAUACAUGACUUUUUUACUGUUGUAUUUCCCUUUUAUAUUGUUUGAUAUGCUUUAUCUUAAUUCUUACGUGAUGAUGAUCUAUCGGAAACCACAUCUCUAUCCUCACAAGGUAGGAGUAAAACGAACAUAUUACCCUCUUCAGAACCCACUUAUGGAAUUUCGUUGAAUAUGGGCUAUAUAAUGACGACGGGGUAAACUCAUGAAUUGGGGCGGGCCACCACCACAUGACCCAGGGAAUUUAUUACCAGGCCCAACCCAAAUUAGAUAUAUAAGGUAUGGAUUGGGCCUGUGUCACAUAGUAGGUCCAAACAUAAAAUACUCUUGAGAGAUUUUUUGCUUGAUUAGUGAUCAAGAUGAGCAUAUAAAUGGAAGUAUUUAUGCAAAUAGUCACUUCAUGUUUAUGAUAGGUGUAUAAAAACUUGCAUCAAAGCAAAAAACCUGCUGGUCAACGAACACGAGAUAUCGAGUAAAUCUGUCAGGCAAAGUUAAAUAACAAUAGGCUCAUAGUAAACGUUGUAGCUGAAGGUUCGAACCUGAGAUCAUUAGAUUGUUACUCAUAUAUGCCUCAACCACUCGAUCAUUCUCUCGGAGACACGUCUCCUGUUUUUCCAUUUACUUUCUUUCAAAUAUGAGAGAAGAGAAUACCUUGUAGAACGGAAGGAUUGAAGAAGAAUCAAGCCUCACAUAAGUAAAGUUUCGAGCUCUAUUCAAACAUCAAGGCUGCACUCUUACCAUUGAACCAAAGCCCCGGGGGCUAUUACAUUGUAAGAAUCAUGUAGAGGGUUUAUCUAUUUUACAACAGCAGCAUUACCUAGAACGCUUUAACUUAUAAUGAGGUUUUAUAAUUAUGAUUUCAGUAACAAUUACUUGCACAGCAAUGUGAGACAUGGAACUUAACUACAUAGUAGAAAUGAAUGAAUAGCUUCCAUGGACAAAGCUCGAGUAGAGCUUACUUUCUGAUUAAUGAAGUUCAAGCUGCAUUUCUUCUCAGCGACCAAAGUAACAAGAUCCUUCACCGGCCAAAGAACCUAUCUUCACUCUUUGUUAUCAACAAUCUCCGGAAGGCUCUGCAGUGCCUGUGAUGGAAAAAGAUAUUCAUACCAACAGGGGAGAAAGAGAAAAGAAUAUGAAAUGGUGAUUGAACAAUGAUUCUUGCCACUGACCUGAUAUAAGUACCAGGAAACAAAGGCAUCUGUAGCAGCAUAAUGUAGUUGGUCCCUAGAUAACACAUUAGCCUCCCAAUUCCCCAACCUGAUAUUACUUGGCUUUGGGAGCUGCAAUGAAUUAAAAAAAUCAGUUGAAUCUCACACUUAAUUGGAAGAAGAACAACUGGAAAGAUUUGGAGGACAUUGAAGCACAACAUAGUUAAUGUAGUAAGAAAAAAUUUGUUCAGCAAGAUUUACAUUCACUUCAAGAUUCCAAAGCUUCCAAUUCAGAAAAAUUAAAGGUUGAUUGAAAAUGUCGGGUCAUGAAAAGGAUUAGGAAAAGGAGGAGCAAAGCAACACCGUAAGGUCCUCCGUGAUGACAUUCAGGGUAUACAUAAAGCCACCCAUUAGGCAUUUGGCACAUUGAGGAGACUCGUGGGAUGCUCAAGAUCUACUUUGGAGAGAGAAUGUGUUUCCUGAUGCUGUUACUUACAGUGAGCAUGCUAGGAGGAAGACGGUGACUGGCACGGAUGUUAUGUAUUCCCUCAAGAGACAGGACAGGACUGUACGGUUUUGGGGGUUGAGAGGAGAUUUGGUUCUGUCCUUAGUUUUGUCUGCAAAGGUCUCUCUGUCAAGAAAAGCACAAUAGUUAUCUUAAUGGUUGGUAAUGAAUAUAGUUUUUGUUUGGGUGGUGGCAGUUCCAAUCUUGUGUAAUAAUGAAUAUAGUUCUACUGUAGUAGUACCAGUACUUUUGUCAUUUGAGAUUUGGUGGACUCUUGUUUCAGAAUUUCUAAAAUUUGCUCCAAUUCAGUAUAUACUACUGACUGAUUCAAAAAAAAAAAAAUAGAUUUUACAUUCUAAUAUGCACAUAUGUAUAGCAGUCAGCAAUGAGGUAGCAUUUCAACUUGGUCUCUUCUUUAAAAGUUGCCAAGUUUGAAGUUCUUUUAUAGUUUUUAUAGACCUUAACAAUUCAACUAAAAAACCUCGAGUCUAUAGAUACGAAACUGACUAGAACAGUCAAGAAACUAGUCUCGGAUUACCCCUUUACCCCCUCCCUGACCCCUGGGGUCAGGGAUCUCAAAAGCAGAAAGGAAAAGCAGAAACUAAAAGACCUGCUUGGCAAGAAGCUUCUCAGUUAAUGAUGCUAGACUCCACUUCUUGGGAUCAUCAAGCUUUUUGUUGGCAAGUUCGGAAAGAUCUUCCAAAGCCUUCACAGAUACAUUGUGAUCUUGGCGAACUUUGAAAGCAUCAUUUGCAAUGCAAACACCCACCUAGGUUUGUUCGAACACCAUAAAGUUAAGAAACCACAUCCUAUUAUAAUUCAUUGUUUGAUUAAUGUUACCAGAAAAAGCAAACAAAUGCCAACCUUCACAACAGUUGGAUCCUCAAGAAGAGAUUGCAGAGUUUGAGGGAUUCCGGAGUGGAUGAUAUGCAAAACAUAACAAUUACCCUUGUCACCACAUAUCUGCAUAACAGCAGCCUUCCCAGGUGGCACACCUGAAGAGAACACCUAUUAUUCUGUAAUCACUAUAACUUACAACAUUCCACUUAACACAAGUAAAAUGAAGCAGAAAAUCCAUUUAAUUACGGAUGUGAUAACUAAAACAAAAGGUCGGGGGGGUUAUAUUCGCCUACUUAUAGACUAAAGAGCAUGUCUAAACAACUAGAGCAUGAGUGCAAGAAGUGAAGCCAAACAGGAACAUACAAAAGAAUAAUCUCUCAAUAAUAUAUUUUAGGAGAAAUUUUAUAUAGAGAAAAGAAGUCUUUCUAAUCACCACAAGUAUACUAAGAAACUCUUGGUAGACAUAUCUACUAAAGAUGCAGAUGUAAUCACUAAGAUGCAUGCAGUGACUUAUGCCUGUUUUCUCAAAAUAUCUUUGUCGUCAACAUAUUCUGGAUGUACUUUUCAUGACUUUUGUCUAUACACUCUGAUUGCUCCAAGAAAACAACAGCAGAUAAAGUUACAUGAUUUAGAAGAUCCAUAUAUCCAACCCCAACUAGCUCGAGAUGAAGCAUAGUAGUGGUUGUUGAAGUUUUAAAGAUAACACAAGAUCAAGUAAGUUCCGCAACAUCAAGUAUGAACUAUCAAACUUCACCAGGUGUCAAAACAAACAAUGUAACCUUUUGACCUUGUGGGAUGAUUCUUCAACAAAUGUCACAUUUUAUAACUUAUAACAUUCCAUUUAACACCCCCUCAAUUAAGCUUAGUAUAGUAAAAAGCUAAAGAAAGAGAAUAAAUGCAAAAGCUACUAAAUCGAAAGACUGAUAGGAUUGUAGAACUACUCAAGAAUUCUGAUUAUAGUUCUCAUAUUUCAGACAGUAGUGAAACUAUUUAUUCGAAACAUUGAACUGACCUCUUCUAAAAGUGGGCUUCCAUUCAAUGUCAAAUCCAAGAGCAACAUUCCCUUCUUUCCUCUUCUUUUCCUCAACAAAAUUUAACAGCUCUACUGCAGAUUUCUCCACCUCGUUAAUAGUUCUGCUGUAUAUAACACGUCCUUUAAAGGACAUUUCCGGGUAUUGCAUCACUAUCUUAGCUGCUACAUCAAAAAACAAAAACAAAAACGAGGACAUUAAAAUCCUUUAACAAACUAGCAACCAUUUAUAAUAGACAACAUAAACAAUUUAUGACUACUAAAAGCUCGAGAGACAAUUUUUUUGGAGCAGUAAAACAGUAUCCCAAACUGUGUUCCUCCAUUCAGUUUACCUAGCUUAUUCUAAGUACUCACCUAAAAAGGGUAAAUAGUGUGCAGGCUUGAUUCUCAUUAUAUCGAAUUCAUAAUAAAUGUUCGCUAGCAUAUCGAUCCAUUAAUUCACUAAAAUGGAAAUUAGCCUAAGAUUUACCAUAAACCUAAAAAAUUAAAUCUUUAGAUGAAAAAACAAAAUACUAAUACCACACCUAAAUUGUUUCCCUUCUGAAUUUACUUUCUGGUGUUCAAAUAUCUAAAACUAUUAAACACAGAACUAAGUUAUUUUCUCACUAUAGAUAUUUCAUAUAAUUUACUUGAUUUCUACUAUUUCUUUAUGACUGUGGUGUUUGUCCAGCUUUCACUCACCUCGACUAAUUUCGUGGAUAACUUCACCUCCCACCAGUAACAUCCCUGAUUAACAAUUUACUACAAUUUGGCAAAUAGAGCUAAAAUUUAAAAAAAAAAAAACUAGUUACACAAGAAAAUAACUUCUUUCAUGGAUAGUAAUUAACAAUUUACUACAAUUUGGCAAACAGAUAGGAGAAACCGUCACCUUGAUUAGAAGAACGAGAGGAAUAGCUACACCGAGACUGAUUUCUAGUGCAAGGAGACAACAAUGACGAAUCGGAAACCUCAUUUUGUUGAUGAUAUACAAAAAGAGAUGCCGGCAAUUUCCGGCGACUUUUCCGACGGGAUUCUUCGCCGGCGGCGACUACAGAAUCGCUUUUUCUCUUGGUAGCUGAUUCAAAUGCAGCAUCUAUCUCUUGGAGUUCUUCCUCUGUAAAAGGUCGAUCCCAAUCGUCUAAUUCGCCGGAGAUCGGAGUUCCCAUUUUCGCUAAAUGAGUACAAAACUGAUUUUUCUUUUCUUUUUUUUUUUGGCAGCAAAAAAUAGCGGCACUUUUGAGCUUUGAUUUUUUAGUUUUUUUAUUUGUAUUGUACUCCCUAAAAGUUUUUUACUAUGGUUUGAUUGACCCAUUAUCUAUUUGAAAAUUACACUUUUUACCCACAAAUCUCAGAGAUACAAAUAGUCAACCUUAAUUAAUUUGGAACGAAUAAUAUUAAACAAUAACUAUAUUACGCCACAAUUUCGAGUAAGUUGAGGUCAGCUAUAAAAAUCUCCACGUGACCAUAUAGCUUUAUUUAAGCUUGUAUCAAAACUAUCCCUACUAAUAACAAACGAUUGCUCGUGAUUUGAACAUGUCGAAUCACUUCGAACGGAUCUAUUGCAAAUCCAUUUCUUGGCCUCAUAUGAAAAACUGAAGCAUUUUAUCUAUUGAUAGAUGAAGAAUCACGAAAGAUCAAAGGCUAUAUAAAAUAAAUAUUUAUUACUGUAUGUCAAAUUAUGUAUGACAUACCCUUUAUACAUAUGAUACAACAAACAUUUGUUGAAUCACACAUAUUAAUACUAAAUUAAUAUUUCCAACAUAACAAAUCGAAAUAAAAUUACUUAAUGUGGGCUAUUAGCUGCAACAAGUUUAAGAAUUUCUAAAGGAAUAUGAAUAAAUUUAACCAAAGCAUUACGUGCAUUAGCAACCUCAGCAAUAUGAUUAUCAACAUAAUCAUCAACAUCAACUGAAUUAGUGGUACGCAUUGCCUUAAGACGAGGAUAACACACUUCGAAAUCCGUUAUCGCGGUCGUAUAAUAAUUAAUCGCAUCUUUAAACGCGUCAUUAACCGUUGAAUCGACCGCGUCGUCGAUUAACUCGAUAGCCGGUAUAAAAUGAUCGUUACAAUCACUUAAAGCUUGUUGUGUAUCGGACGAUAAUUUGUCAUCAUUGUUAAGGAGCUUCAUACGGACCGUUAUCGACACAUUAGUGGCCUCUUGUUCGAUUUUUUUAAGCGCCAAAAAGCCUAUUGUUUUUAAAUCGGCUUUUUGGAGCGAAUCGAGAUCGGCUUGUGACCUGUCUGUUUGAAUCCAUGAAAUACAUUCAUUAUUGUUGUUACAUGCUUUGGCAAGAUUUGGAGGAAUAAUAUUUAAGGCUUGAGGUUGAAUUCUUCCAUUAACAAUAGGUAAUUGAAGAGUUAAGCAAAGGAAAAAGGCUAAAGGAAUUAAUUUAAUAAGAAAAGAAUUUGACCUCCUUGAUAAAGAAAAGGAGAUCAAAGCCAUAAUUAGUUUUAUUUUAAAAAAAACUUUUUUUUUCCUUUUUUUUUUUUAACCCCAAAUUUACUUGAGUAUUAUCAUUGUUCUUUUCUUGUUUUCUUUGUUUUAUAUGAAAAUUGUUAUUGAUAGUUGAAAAAGAUUGGUAGAGAUAAAUGUUCUCUUUACCACCCUUUAUGAAUAGAGGUUUUUAAUAAAAAUUGUGGGGGGUUCAAUUAAUUUUAUUUUUGUUUUGUAAAAAUGAACUAAAAUUGAGGGAUUGUGUUUUUCUCUUUGUAGUGACCAUUCAUUUGUUAAGAAAUAAUUUUUUUGAGGUAAAAAAAAAAAAGGAAAGCUUAAUCAUUCUUAAAGAUCUUGUUUUGUUGUAAUGUCUUCAUUUUUAAUCUUCUUUUAGGUUUUGUGGUUCUUAAAGUGUUAAAUAUGGUAGUAACAAGUGAAAUCUAGAGAAGACGAUGUAUACACAAACCUAACUUUUUACCUUUUGAAGGUAAAAGAGGUGGUUGUGAUAAACCUUCGGCUCUAGUAACACAUUUUAAUCAAUCUUUCGUCUUUCAUUUGAAUUCACAUGUUCUCGCAUGAUUUUCACCCACUUUCAUCGAUCGAGAUAUGCAAGUAAGCCAUAAUCCAUGAAUCUCCAAGAAAAUGGACUUUGAAAAUUGAGAUACAAAAUGCAACAAGCCCAAGUAUAAGAUCAUAAGCUUUGUAACCAAAUGUAACAUCAUUCUCAUUUUAAAUGUUAAAGGCACACCUUUACAAACUAUAAUGACAACAACCAAAAUCUUAGUAAAGGUACCAAAACAUACUAUUGAGAUACCUAAUAAAUAGUAACUUAAUCUGAAUAAGAUCCCCAAUAGGAAAAAUAUGGAACUAUGGAGAUUGAUGAGAAGUUAAUUUUAUUCUCACGUGAAUGGAGCAGCAACAUUUAGUCGUGUAGCUAAGAGCAUAAGAUAAAGUCUUGAACUUCACACUAGCAUCAACAUGUCUGGUCUUAAAGAACUAUAAGAAACCACUACUCAGAUGGUGAAUUUGAUAGUACUCGGGGACCAAGGAUAGCAAGAAACACCGAUACUCAUUCUCAGCGCUUGGAUACUACAAGAUAUCAAGAUAGAAAAAGCUUCCUACAAGAAGAUAUCAUGCUCUUCUCAUAAUAUUUGUGCAGCAAUAGAGACAAUCGUAUGGUGCUGUACUACUAUCAAAGCCUGAGACCAAACAAAACAGUCACGUAUUUCAGUUCCUAGAAUAACUUAGUCUCGAAACGUUGACAUAAGAAUAUGAUAGAAAAUCCUUCUUAAAGUCACAGUGUAACAAUGAACCAUGAAUGACUAAGUAGACUUAUACACCAGAGCCAUGAGCCCCUUGGAAAUAUUAGAUACAUAACAACUGCCAAUAGCACAGAGCUAUUUAAGUAAUUCGGAACUUGUUUAUUUUCUGUAAGUCAAUCAUUCAGUUGCUUCUUUUUUUCUAUCCUAUUCGACACUUGUUAAAAUGUUGUAUUUAUGCAAGAGUCUAGGGGGUAAAAAAAGAGGAACAUUGUUCAAAGUUAUCGUUUAUAAAUACUGAUGAUUUUUGUGAGCUAUAGACCAGAUUGCGUCAGUAAGCAGCGCACAACGAAUUGCUGUAUCUCCUAAGAGACAAUGUACUUAAGAAAACUGAAGGUUCCCCUGCCCCCAUUUUUACAUGACUCAUAGCAGCACCAAGUCAUAAUCCCGAAUAGAGAAUCACAUUGAUAUUCACGCUUUAUUAUUUUAAAUUGCAACCACUUAGAAUAACAAGCUAGCAAUUCAGAGAACAAUUUUAUCUUUUGACAGGUAUUAAGAGGAGUAAUUUUCCACUGAGAUAAACAUUAUAAGCUACAAACUUUUAUAAGCAGUGGAUGCAAGAGCUACUGGGGAGCCACUUCCUGCAAAUUAUUAGGGAGCACCAACGAGCAAACCUAAUAUGAAACAAUUUAAUGCAAAAUACAAAACAUACGAACCUCAACGUAAUCCAAAAAUCUCUUCUGGAGGAUCAUAUAUGUGCCGAUCCGGAAAAAUCUCUUCAAAGUCUUGCUUAACCCUAUUUCUUAAUAGUGGGUGUGGCAAAAGUCCCUUCAACAAAACCCUGAAAGGUAGCUCCUCAGGUGGGUAUGGAGACUUCUUCAUGUCUUCAAAUAUAUUCAUAGCAUCUGCAGGAGAUCCAUCUCUCAAGAAUCCCCUAAUAACUUCAGUGAAUGUCUGACAAUCAGGAAAUAGAUCUUCCUUUCUCAUACUCUCCCAUAACUUCAUUGCAUCAUCCAUUUUUCUCCGUCUCGCCAACGCAAUGAUCAGGUCCUUGUAAAGAUAGACAUCGGGUUGGUACCAGGCUUGUUUCUGAAUUACCCAAAACACCUGAAAUACAAACAACUAGCUGUGUGUGAUAAUGCCAUUCCAUAUGCCCCAAAAUAGACUUCGAUAAAUUAACUGAAAAUGACAUUAGCACGCAUAUCAAGAUUCAAAAUGUAUGAUCUCAACCAAAAAGGAAACAAAUAGAAUAGCUUUAAGCAGAUAUCCGAAAAAGCAACAGCACAAUUUUAACAAUGUUUUGCCCAUUUGAUAACUUAAAAUAGAACAACUUCACAAGAAAAAAAAUUAUAAAACCACUGAACAGCGAACACUAUUGACCAAUUCUCUUAUUUAUAUUAUGAUCUAAUAUAAACACCUUCUCCAACGACUCAUCACCAAAGCACUGAAUGCACUUCACUCCAACUACUGCCUUAUAAGCGAAACUAUACAAGUUUUAUCGCAUCCAACUAAACUUGGGCACCUAGACGCUAAAUGGGAACAAAGAAAGAUCACAGCUUAAAGAUAAAUCCAACAGCAAUAACUUCCUCUAUUACUAAAUGCAACAAUAAAACUUCUGAAAUAGAAAUGAGAAAACAGUAGGUGAUCUUUUCACAUUUGCUCAAGCCUGGUGGGCAGAGUCACCUAGUACCCGUUUACUCAGUUUAAUUAGUCGAUGUGCGUACAAGCUGGCACGGACAGCGGUACUAAAACUACUAUUGUGCAAUUCUUGUUUACUAGUUUCACUUACUCCAUAUAUGAACAGAGAAAAGAAAAAUCACAUUUUUUGGCAUUAGAAAGCUUACCUUAACAGCAAGAGAGACUUCUUCUUGGCGUUCAAGCUCAUUAAGUACAGCAAUCAUAUCCAUUUUAAGAAGUCUAAGGACAUGUGUUUUAACAAACUUGUCAAGCUUUUCUUCAUCAUCUUUGAAUCUUCUUAACCCAAGAAUCACAAAAAGUGCUUCUUUUCCAAUCAAUUUCUUUCCCCUCCAAAGUGACCCUCUUGGUCUUCCAUCAUGGUACCACCUCACAUCCCUCACUGAACUUCUAGAAAACUCAGGAACCCAUGAUGGAGAACAUGAAGAAGAAGAUGUUAAGGUGGAAGAAAUUGAUGGUAAUGGAGAAACUGAAAGGUGUUUAAGAAGCAAAGAUGGAAUUUUUAGUCUUGAAAUGGUUCUAAUUGCCAUUUUUGAAAGAUGGCUAUGAAAGGGAAGUCUGUACGAUGGUUAUGGUGGCGGAGGCGAUGGAUACAGAGGCGCCGGUGAUGCUCCGGCGGAAGAAUCAGUGAAAUUGGGUAUUAGGGUUUGACAACUUCCGAUUAUGAAGUUGAAUUGGGGAAGAAAUAUUAGUAGUUAUUUACUUUUAGACACCUUAUGUUUUUGAAAACUAACAUUUAGUCCAUCUAGCUUUUGAAAAAUACUUAAUUGGUCCCAAAUUGUCCACCUAGGCAGUCCAACGUGUGGAACUCUGUCAGUUCCUUGUUAGUUAUCUUGCGUAUCUUUGAGAAUCAAUAUGAUUAAAUUUUAAAUUAACUCAGAGUAUAUUAAUUUUAUAUUUUUAAUUAAAAAUUAUAUAUUUAAAUACUAUACAAAAAACAUUAUAUAUUACAAUUUUUUUAUAAAAUACUAAUCAAAAGUCAUAUUGAUUGACUCUAAAAAAAAAUACUUAAUGUUAUUUCAUUUUCUUAUUAUUUUGCUUUUCACGAGCAAAAGUUUCUCCAAAUUAUUUUAUUUUAAUAUAUCGUAUCCUUUCAAUUGACACAACCAAAAAUAAUAGUUUAUUUUUCAUCUGCAGACGAUGAGUUAAGAUAUCAUGAACUUUGGGUUUUGUGAUAAACCUUUUGUUGAAUCAUUUUAAUUUAACCAAAAUUAAUGAAAUUUUAUGUCUUUAAAAUUAGAAAAAAGACGAAAAAAUUAUAAAAAGAGAUAAAUAAGAUUUCAGCUAAAAGUGCCACAUCACCAAAGCUAUAUAUAAAUAAAGGGAUUUUUACUAGUCAUAGAUUUUUUUUUAAUUAGAAUUUUAAUCAACAUUUACUAUGCAUUUUUUUAUCAUAAUGAUAUAUAAAAAAAUUACAAUCUAUAAUAUUUUUAUAUAUAAUUCUUAAAUAUUUAAUUUUCUAACUAGAAUUUCAGCUAAAAGUGCCACAUCACUAAAGCUAUAUAGAAAUAAAGGGAUUUUACUAGUCAUAGUUUUUUUUUUCUAACUAAAAUUUUGAUUAACAUUUGACUAUAUAUCUUUUUAUCGUAUUGAUAUGUAAGAAAAUUAUAAUUUAUAGUAUUUCUUUUUUAUAAUUUUAAAAUAUUUAAUUUUCUUUAAAAAAGUUAUCAAAAUAAUGUAAUAUAAUCUAACUUUUAAAAAUAAUUAAAUUAACUUUUCAAAAACGUAAUCCGUCGAAUAAAAGUCGACUGAAUAGUUAAUUAUCAAUGUAGUCAAACUAGGAUUGCAUAUUUUCAUACAAGACUCCAAAAUUUGGGGGGGAAAAAGUCAAACUAAUAAUAAUGAUGGUAAUAUCUGAAAUAGAUUAGAUCAGAAAUCUCUACCCAUAAAAUUAAUUGUAUAAAAGGAGGAAUGAUCAUAUAUAAAAAACAAAAAAAAAAACAUAUAGUUGAAUAUUUUCUUUCUAUCAUGGAUUAUUCACAUUUCAAGACUAUAUUAUUGUUAUGCAUUUUCUUCUUCUUUUGCUUUCCACAAGCAAAAGGGAAUCAUCGAUGGAACACAUACACUGUUGUUAUAUAUAAUGGCCUUCCAUUUGAUUCGCCCAAAUUAUCGAUUCAUUGUUAUUCUGCAGACGAUGAUUUAGGAUAUCAUGAUCUUGCUGCAUAUGAAAAUUUCAGUUGGAAGUUCAAAUUUAAUCAAUGGCUUUGGGCUAGAACAAGGUUCCAUUGUCAAUUUUGGUGGGACAAAAAAAGCAAAUCUUUUGUUGUAUUUAAUGAUUACGAUCACUGUAUUUUGUAUUCGCCUAUUCCUACAACAAAUUAUUGUCAAUGGACCGUACAAGAAGAUGGCUUUUGGCUGACUAACUAUAGAGGGGAUACUUAUAGAGUUUUUGAAUGGUGAACGAUAAUAGUUUAUAAUCUUAUAAUACUUUUCAUUGAAACCUUUACUUUAUAUAAAUAACAAUGCUUCUUUUUUGUUGCAUUACUGAUUUUUAAUCUUGUUGAAUUAUAAGUGUAUAAAUUGAAGUUGAUGAUUUUUUUUAUUAGUAAUAAAAGUUUAAUAAGUAUAAGUUAUGAAAAUAAACCUUAAAUAAAUAAAAGAGAAAAAAAAACACAAAUAGAGGAGAUAAAAGAAAUAACUUUAUAGGAUAAAAAUUUAUAAUAUUAUAAUACUUUUUAUUGAAACCUUUACUUUGUAUAAAUAACAAUGCUUCCUUUUUGUUGAAUUACUGAUUUUUAAUCUUGUUAAAUUAUAAGUGUAUAAAUUGAAGUUGAUGAUAUUUUUUUAUUAGUAAUAAAAGUUUAAUAGGUAUAAGUUAUGAAUAUAAACCUUAAAUAAAUAAAAGAGAAAAAAAAACACAAAUAGAAGAGAUAAAAGAAAUAACUUAUACGUAUGAUAAGUGAUUUAAGGAAAUUAUACAAAUAACACCAAUAACAAGAUUAAGAGAAAACAAAAAUGUGAAAUUGAGAAAAAAAAAUAGGAAAUAAAGAGAUUAAUAGAUUAAUUGAUGAAAGAAAUUAAAUAUAAUAUCCUUUCUAUUCUAUAAAAUCUUAUGUAUAAGAAAAGAUACUAAUAGUAUAGAUGUAAUGAAAGGAAUUAUAAAUAUUACUAUUAAUAAUUCUCAAUAAAAUUUUAACGUGGAAUUUUAUAUGAUUUAAAAUUAGAAGAAAAAAAAAGAUUAAAAAAUGUAAUAGAUAAAUAAUUUUUUUUAAAAAAAGAUCAAAAAGAUACUAAUAGUAUAGAUGUAAUGAAAGGAACUAAAAGUAUUACUAUUAAUAAUUCUCAAUAAAAUUUUAAGGUGGAAUUUUAUAUCAUUUAAAAUUAGAAGAGGAAAAAAGAUUUAAAAAUAUAAUAGAUAAAUAAAUUUAAAAAGAAUAGAUCAAAUUCAUUCAAUGUAGAUUGUAGUCAAACUAGAAAUGUUGAAUUUCUUUAUUCAAAGACUCCAAAACUAGAAAAGGAAUAAAGUCACUACAAAUUAAUAUUGAUAUUAAUAUCUAAAUUAUCUCAUCAUCUCUUCCCAUAACAUUUAUCAUAUAUAAGAAACCAUAUAGACUCUCAAACAAAUUAAAUUUUAAAUAAUUUUCUUCCUAUCAUGGAUUAUUCACAAUUUAAAAAUAUAUUAUUAUUAUUAUUAUUAUGCAUUUUCAUCAACUUUUGCUUUCCACAAGCAAAAGGAAUUCACCAUUGGGGAAAAUAUACUAAUUCUAUAUAUAAUGGUAAGAACUAUCCUCUGAUGCUACAAUAUUAAAAAAAUACUCUUUAUGUCAAAACUAAAAAGUGGGGAGAAAUCUACUUUUGAUUUUAAACAUAUUUUAAGUUAUUUUAAAUUUAUUUUAAAUUAUUUUUAACCUUUUCAAACAAUUUCUAACUUAUUUUAAGUUGUUUUUAUCUCUUAAAAAUAUAUUUGACCAACUUUUAAAAUUUUAAGCACCUUCUAAGUCAUUAAUAUAGUAAAACUGGGCUAUUAGUGUUGAUGGUAUCUAUAAUCUAUAAUAUCUAUAAAUUGAAAUUUUCAUAAUCAGCCCCAUAAAUUUUGAUUUUUUUUCUUCUUUUAUAAAAGGGAAAUAAUUAUGUAAAUGUGACCAUAAACUCUAACAAAUCAAAGCUGAUAGCUCCUUUCUAGGAUUAUUCACAAAUUAAGACUAUAUCUUUUAUUAUGCAUUUUUUUCUUUUUUUGCUUUUCUUAAAUAAAAGGGUAUUCAAAAUAUAUCGUAUAUAAUAGCCUUCCAAUUGACUCUCCUGAUAAUUAAGAGUUCAUUGUUUUUCUAAAGAAAAUAAUAUAGGAUUUCAUGUACUUUCUCCCUAUGAAGAUAUUAAUUGGUCAUUUAAAGCAAAUCGCUGGAUUAUUGGAUUAUUAGUCGGUGAAAGGAUAAAAAUUAAUGAUAUUUAUAAUACUUUCAAAUGAAAAUCUUAUUAACUUUAAAAAUAUAAUAAUACUUUUCCUUUAAAUUUAUUGGAUUAUCUAUGUAUACAAAUUAGAUUUUUCAUUUUCUUCUUGUAACUUUCCUUAUAUCUAUUAUUCAAUUUUAAGAUUUCGAUUUUGAUUUCUCAAAUAUUUUUUUUUUUAAUAUUUAUCUUCUCAUCAUUUAUGUUGAGUAAUUUUGACAUGACAAUGGAACAGAGUAAGGGAUCAAUAGUUAGAAACUAAGAUGCUAAGUGACCAAUUAAUUAUUUUGUAUAUCAGUAUAUAUACACAAAUAUGUUAUUAUUGUAAUUGUUAACUUUUUUAUACGGAAUAAAUUAAUAAUAUUUUUUACAUCAAUUCAAACGAUAAAAACUAUCUAAAAUUUUCAAGGGAAGUUCUAAUAUCUUAGUUCGUACAAAUUGGUACAUCGAAAAUAUGAAAAUAAUGUGAAAUUAUCCUUUAAAAGAGUAUUUUAUCUCUUGAUAUGAAUUUUAAUGGCAUAAUUCUUUUAGGUGACAUUUUUUUUUUUGGUUAAAGUUUGAUUAAAAUGCUAACCAAAAAGAAUAUAUUACUUUAUUGACCUCUUUUAAGCAAUUGAUGUACUCAAUGAAGAAAAUAAUUGUGUUUCAAAUUCACAAAUUACCUCCAAAACUCAUUGUUAAUGAAAAUGAGUGUUAUAGAUAUAUUAACAGGUGAAUGAUAAUAAUUUAUAAUAUCGUAAAUUUUUUUUAUUAAAACCCUAUCAAUAUUAAAAAGUUAUAAUACUUCUUUGUUGAAUUGUGAAUUUCAAGUUUAUUGAAUUAUUAGAGUACAAAAUUUAAAUAUAUAAUUUUCUUGUUGUAACCUUUUUUUAUUUCGAUAAUUUAAUUUUAAGAUUUCUAUUUUCCAAACAUCUUUUACUUUUAACAUUUUCCUUCCCACCAUUCACGUGGAGAGAUUUCGAAACGCUAAUAAAACAAGAUAACAUAGGAGAGGAAAAAAUGAAUUUUGUUAAAAAGUUAAAAUUGUUCAAUGUUUAGAAGAGUUUUUUAUACUUUUUUUAAUAUAUUUAAUUCAUUUAAUAAAUUGUUAAAUACUUUACGUUUUGUAAACUAAUUUGAGGAUAAUUAAAAAAAUCUAGCAAAUUAAUAACCUAAAAUAGAUGGAGUAACUACGAUUUGAUUUAAUUGUGCUUCAUAACAAACGUUUGCAAAAAAUUGUCAGGUGCCUAUCUCCCAAAUAUCUCGCUCGCCGCUCUCCUUCAAUCUCUCGCUCGCUUCCUCACUUUUUAUACAAAUAUAAGUGUAUAAAAAUUGUUUCCAAUUGUAUAAAGCAGAGAAAAUUAAAUAUAUACAUAUAUUUUUGUUCCUCUCUCUCCCAACUUCCAGAUCUCGCUCCCCACUCUCCCAAAUCUCGCUCACCACGCUCACCUUUCUCACUUAUACAAACAGAAGCGAAAUGUAUAAAUUGCGUUUCUUUUUGUACAAAGCGUGAGAAAAAAUUGUAUGAACACAUGCAAAUAUAUAUAUUUUUGUCCUAUACACUUAUAAUUAUACAAUAAAAAUACUCCCCUGCCCAGUUUCUUUUGCCUUUCUCUCUUUCUCGUUUUAUACAGUUUUCAAAUUGUAUCUAAUUUCUCUCUUUCUCGUUUUAAACAAUUUGAUUCAAUUGUAUAUUCAUUGUCAAGUCUCUUUUGUCUUUCUUUCUUUCUCAUUUUAUACAAAUUCAAAUUGUAUACAAUCUUUCUAUACACUUAUAAUAAUACAAUUCAUUUUAUACACUUCGUUUUUAUACAGUUCUCUGUCCAAGUGUCUUUCUCUUUCUUGUUUUAUACACUUCAUUUUAUACAAUUUGCUUCAACUGUAUAUGUAUAACGAAUUAUAUAGUUUCUAUGUUUGCUAUGGAGCGCAAUUAUGCAAACUUUGUUAUAGCAUACAAAUAUAAAUUUUUUAUUUGCUAUAUGUGAAAGUUGCCCUUAAUAACCUUUAAUUUCUAUUCUUAAAUAUAUUUGUUUUGUGUCAAAUUCUAAUGAUACACUUAAUAUGGACCAUAUAAAAUAUAUAUACUAAGAGGCCGUUUAGAUUGACUUGAAAAAUAAUUUUUAUGUCAAAAUUAAAAAAUAGAGGGAGAUCUACUUUUGAUUUUUGACUUAUUUCAAAUCAUUUUUAAAUUUAUUUUACGCUAUUUUUAACCUUGUCAAGCACUUCCUAACUUAUUUUAAGUCAAAUUUUUUUAUUUAUCUAAAACUUUUUAAACAAAAAAACUGACAGAAAAAUAUAUUUAAUCAAUUUUUAACCCAAUGCAAAUGCCCUCUAAGUCAUUAAUAUAGUCAAACUGGGGUAUUAAUGUUGAUGGUAUCUAUAAUGUCUAUAAAUUGGAAUUUUCAUAAUCUGCCCCACAAAUUUUAAUUUUUUUCUUUCUUUUAACAAAGGGGAAUACUUGUAGCCAUAAACUCUAACAAACUAAAGCUGAAUAGCUUCUUCCUAUAAUGGAUUAUUCACAAGUUAAGACUAUAUACUUCUUAUGCAUUUUUUUCCUUUUUAGCUUUCCUCAAGCAAAAGGGUAUCCAAAAUAUACUGUUUGCGUAUAUAAUGGCCUUCCAUUUGACUCUCCUGAUAAAUUAAGAGUUCAUUGUUUUUCUAAAGAUAAUGAAAUAGGUUUUCAUGUACUUUCUCCCUAUGAAGAUAUUUCUUGGUCAUUUAAAUUAAAUCGUUUGAUUUUUUCGAGAACUACGUUCUAUUGCAGUUUUUGGUGGGGUAAAAGAGCCCAACAAAUUAUUGUAUUCAAUGAUGAAAAGUUGUGCGUUGGAGAUUCACAACUUCCUCAGUCCACACAUUAUUGUCAAUGGACAGCACAAGAGGAUGGUAUUUAUUUGAGUGGCGAACAAAGUUAUGGUUAUAGAUAUAUUAGCUGGUGAACGAAUAAAAAAUUAUGAUACUUUCUUAUGAAAAAUAUAAUAAUACUUUUCCUUUAAGUUUAUUGAAUUAAUUGCCUAUACAAAUUGAAUUUUUAAUUCUCUUGUUGUAACUUUACUUAAAUCUAUCGUUCACUUUUAAGAUUUCGAUUUUGAUUUCCCAAACAUUUUUUCUUCUCAUCAUUUAUGUCGAGUGAUUUUGACAAUGAAACAGAGUAAGGGAUUGAGUUUUAGUAAAUCAAAUGACUUCUAUUAAAUUUAGUCACUAAAUUAAGACAAUAGUUAGAAAUUAAAAUGCCAAGUGACCAAUUAAUUAUUUUGUAUAUCAAUAUAUAUACACGGAUACAUUAUUAUUAAUCGUUAUUUUUUGGUAUGAAAUAAAUCAAUAAUAUUUUUUACACUAAUUCGAAUGGUAAAAUCUAUCUAAAGAUCUUGAAGAAAGUUCUAACAUCUUAGUUCGUGUAAAAUUAAUACGUCUAAAGUAUAAAAAUAGUACGAAAUUAUUCUUUAAAAGAGUAUUUUAUCUAUUGAUAUGAAUUACAAUGGCACAAUUUUCUAGGUGAAUUUUAUUUUUAUGAAGUUUUUUUUAAAAAUGCUAACCAAAGAGAAUAUAUUACUUUAUUGACCUCUUUCAAGUUUAAGUUUUUUGUAUUACAUCAUAUUUAAGCUCAUUUUACUCUAAUAUUAUAAAAUAGAAAUUAUAUACUCUUUUUGUUUCUUUUUAAUUAAUAGAGUCUAUUCACAAUCAGAAAGUGUGAAUUACAUAGAGAUUUUUCUUAGGAAUUAAUAUGAAAAUUCGAAGAAAAAUAAGUUUCAUGUGAAUUUUCAUACUAAUAUUUAGAAAAAAUUCCCAUAUAAUUUACAGUUUAUUAUAGUGAUUAAUUUAUAGUGUUAAAUAUAACAGUUAAUAUAUUCUUUUAAAGGCACUAAGUCAAUAUUAAUAAAUUGAGAAAUAACAGAAAAAUAAAAUUAUUAUAUUUUAUUUAUUAAAAAUGAUAAAUAAAAAUAAAAAUCAAAUUAAAAAAUAGUCAAUAAAUCAUCAAAUGUAGUCAAUCAAUCAUACAAAUACUCCAAAAUUGGUCUGGGUGGGGGAUAUUAUGUCAAUUAAUGUUGAUAAUAUCAUUGUUCAUAAUUCUUUUUCUUCUUUUAUAAAAGGAGGGGUACUUAUUAUUAUUAUUAUUAUAAUAUAAAAAAGAAGCCAUAAACUAUAGCAAAUUAAAAUUGACAGUUUUUUCCUAUCAUGAAUUAUUCACAAUUCAAAACUAUAUUAUUGUUAUGUUUUUUUUUCUUUUUAUUGCUUUCCUCAAGCAAAAGGGAAUCAUCGUUGGAAGAAGUAUCCUGUUUUAAUAUAUAUGUAGACAUUGAAAUUUUGUAAGAGUCUACAAGAUGCGUUCAAUUCGAGUUGGGACUCUACAAAUUGUGUUCAACUCAGAUAAGGAUUCUUGGAGGCUUCUCAACCCUAAACCCCUAGUUUAUGCCUAAGGGUACUAAAUUCCGUUUAUGCCUAAGGGUACUAAAUUCCGUUAAAAGGCAUCUCGAAAAAUCCACAAAGAGAUCAAGAUAUCCACAAAGAGAUCAAGAUCUCGAAUACUCCACAAAUUGAUGGAUUAUUCAUAUAAAGAGAUCAAAUCUAAAUCAUCCUAGUUCAAGAAAUACACCACUAACGGCCAAUCAAGGGAGGAACAAAUUUAUAUUCACAAUCUUGAUGAAUAAAAUCACGUUUCUUCGAUUGUUUGCAUCAUGAUUGUGAGUACAAAUUUGUUCCUCCCUUGAUUCUACUCUCUAAUAUGAUUUAUCCAUGAUUCACGUUUCUUCGAUUGUUUGCAUCAUGAUUGUGAGUACAAAUCUGUUCUUCCCUUGAUUCUACUCUCUAAUAUGAUUUAUCCAUGAUUCGAGGGCCGUUAGUGGUGUAUUUCUCGAACUAGGAUGAUUUAGAUUUGAUCUCUUUAUAUGAAUAAUCCAUUGGAGUAUUCGAAAUCUUGAUCUCUUUGUGGAUUUUUCGAGAUGCCUUUUUAACGGAAUUUAGUACCCUUUAUAUAGGCAUAAACUAUGGGUUUAGGGUUGAGUAGCCUCCAAGAAUCCUUAUCUGAGUUGAACACAAUUUGUAGACUCCCAACUCGAAUUGAACGCAUCUUGUAGAGUCUUACAAAAUUUCAAUGUCUACAAUAUAAUGGCCUUCCAUUUGACUCUCUUAAAUUAUUCACUAUUAUUCUGCAGAUGACGAUUUAGAAUUUCAUUAACUUUUUGCUUAUUAAAAUUUCACUUGGAGAUUUAAAUUUAAUCAAUGGCUUUAGAUUAGGACAGUGUUUACUUAUCAUUUUUGGUGGGGUAAGAAAAAUAAAGCUUUUAUUGUAUUCAAUGAUUACGAUCAUUGCAUUUUGUAUUCGCCCUAGUGCUACAACAAAUUAUUGUCAAUGGACUAUACAAGAGGAUGGUAAUAUAUCGAAUGGUCGGAUAAAAAUUUAUGAUAUUGUAUUCUUUUAAUUGAAAUUUAUCUUUUAAAAAUAAUAAUAUUUUUCUUUUUUAAAUCGCUUAUUUUUAAGCUUAUUGAAUUGUUAACGUAUAAAAAAUAAAUUUAUAAUUUUAUGGUGUACCUUUGCCUUAACGAUCACUAGAACAUUAUAAAACCUGUUCUUUUAUUACCUUUUCCCUUUCCGUUAUUCAAGCUAAAAGUUUCAAAAAGAAAAUAAUUGAAUCUGAAAGUUUUGAUGAUAUAAUUGAUCACAAUAAUAGCAUAAAUAAACACAUCUAUUAAUAAUGGAUAAUACGAUUGAACUAUUUCUAAGAAUUUAAUAACAUAUUUGAUUUUUUUUCUUUUGAAAUCGUAUUUAUUAAAAUGUUUGUUCAAGUUUGAAAAGAAAUAAACAUGCUAACCAAUUGUAUGGAGCAGCCAUUUUUUAGACUUUUUUUUUUAAAGAAAUAUCAUUUCUAAUUGUAUUUCAAUAUUAUAAAAUAAAAUUAAACGUGAAAUUAAAGUAUAAAAUAUCGUAAAUUGUAUGGCGUAACCAUUUUUUAGAUUAUUUUUCCAGUAGCCAACAUUAAAAAAAUUCACCAAGGUACAUUAUUGGCUGACUAAUCAUUGUUUAAUCCUUUUUUUUAAAUAUUAUUUUUUUCAAUAACUUGAUAAAUCACAAGAGAAGAAAAAUAGUUCGUAUGUCCUCGUAAAGUUGGUAACAUUUUUGUUAUAUAUCUAAACAAAAAAUAUACCCCACUAGAGAAAGGGGGUUGGGGUUUGUUGAGGUCAAUAUGGUCAAUUCAUGUUUCCACCAACAAUUUUGGCCUAUAUAGUGGGGAAAAUAUGGUUAUUUUAAAAUGUAUAUAUAAGGUCAAAAGUUGAUGUACAUAAAUUAAAAAUGGAUAUUGUAGCUAUACCAAACACCUUACCAACACAAAAAUUUUACUUAUUCCUAAAGUUUUGAGCAAUGCAAUAUUCCAUUUCUUUGACUUCAUACACAUAAGGUUUCACCGAUAAUAAAAAGUUUCGAGUUUAAGUAAAUUUAAAUAAGUCGAAUUUUAUAUUGAAUGAGAGAAAAAGAGUUUCAAUUUAUUAAGUGGUUAUAUUCGUCUAAGGGAAUUAGAGAAAUGAGAUGAAAAAAAUUAUCCUUUUCACAAUCCCACUUAAUUUUAUUUUUUUUUUGAUCGAAACUUACCAACUCAGCUGAUUUGAAUUCAUUAUGUAAGUAGUCUGCAAUAUGAGGUGUUAAUGUUUACUACUAAGAACAAUUUCAUUAUUAAAAUUCAAACUCCAACUUUUAAGAGCUUACUUACAACUUUAGUCAUGGUGAGUAAAUUAUUAUUUUAAUUCUCAUAUUAAAAAUUAAAUGUAAAAAUAUCUUAUAUCUAGUCUUACUCUUAUAGACGUGCAGACCAAGUCGAGACCUUAUUUGUCAAUUAUUGUGUGCAUAAUAAACUGUUAAGUCCACUAUAUAAGCAAAAUUAGUGGACCAUUUUCUUAAUUUUUUAUUUGAAAAUCAAACUUUAAGAUGUUCUAAUUUAGAUUUUCAUGAAGAUUAAUAAUAUAAUUUUUAAUAAGGUGAUAUGUAUACCAACUUUAUUUUAAUAUUUUAUAUUGGCAGAAAAAUGAUUUAAAACACAAAAUCUGAAUUUCGUAAUACACAAAUUAUUAUUAAUAAAAUUGGUCAAUCUACAUAUACCUUUCAAAUUGGAACAUUUUGUAAUGAUAGCGUCACCAUAUCCUUGUAAGAGUAGGUAAGAUUUGAAAGGUUUGCCUAUGGUGUUUGUUGAUGUCAAUUUGGUCAACCUAUGUGGUUAGAUAAAAUUUUGAGUUCAAAUUUUAUUGACGAUGAAAAGUUUUUAAUAGCAAAUAUUUUUUUUUUGGAUAAAAUAUCGAAAUAAUCAACCAAAUAGAUUUUAUAUAUAGUAUGAUUAACCCUAAACAACAAAUUAUUCUUCAAAUAUUUGACAUUACUUCUUGGUCCCCCAAUGAAUAGCAAUUAAUUAGGUGUAUGAAAAUGUUGUUUCCCCCCUCCUGCCCCCCCCCCCCCUUUUUUUUUGUAUAUAUGUCAAAAUCACUCACCAUUCAAUAUGUUAUGUACUUUUUUUUUUUAAAAAAAAUUGAGUUCAUCUUUGGUUUAAUUUAAGCUCUAUUGAUUAUUGUUGAUUUUUAUUUCAUUAUUUUGUUACUACUGUUUAAUUCUUCAAAGAUAUGAAUAUGAUUUGAAUAUUUUAGAAUAGAUAUUCGUUAAUAAUAAAGUUAUAUUUUUAAAAUUAAGCAGAGCAAGAGGAUUAUAUUUUCGAAAGACAUUAAAAAAUUAGGAUCGAUAAGUAAAUUAUAAAGCUAGAAUAGAAGAAAUUGAUAAAUCCAACAAUUUCUUUAUUAUUAUAUAUAUAUAUAUAUAUAUAUAUAUAUAUAUAUAUAUAUAUAUAUAUAUAUAUAUAGUUUCUAUUAAAUUUCUUCAUGCUCCAGGCUUAAGAAAAGAAAUAAAUAAAGGAUGGGGUGGGUUGGUGUUCUUUUAUAUAAUAAUAAUAAUAAUAAUAAUACUCUAUUCUCCAACUUUUUUGUUCUCUAUUCCCUUUAAUUAUUUUGCUUCGAAUUAGUGGGACAUUAUGCAUAUAAUAUAGUACUAGCAUAAUUAAAAAAAAUAUUAAAAAAAUGUUUAUAUUGGGUGAUGAAAGGACAUAGAGAUUUGCGACGAAACGAAAUCGUUACCCUUUGUACAAUCCGUUCUUCUUUUCUAUAUAUAUAUAUUUAUAUUUAAAAUUAUGUUUUUUUAAUUUUGUUUAGUGAUUUUAUUUAUAAGUAUGUGAAUAUCUAUUAAUUUUUACAUAUAAAUAUGAUUUGAACCUAUAUUACCGUAGAUGAAUUUAGAGUAUAUAGUAGAUAGUGUUGGACUAAUAAGAUUUUUAUGGUGACUAUUUAAUAGUAUACGAUUUUUUUAAAAAUCUUCUACUUUUUUAUUAAAAAAAAAUUAAUUAUCACUUAACCUUUUAAAUUACAAAUAAUUUACGGCAUUAUUUUUUAUUAACAUAAAAAAAUUAAUAGAACUCCUAUUUUCUAAUUUGUAUGGCGGUGUGAGAGUGAGAGCACCGACGAGAUGGCCGUUACAUUGAGAUUUACAAAGUGUGGGUCCAAUAAUACCUGUCGGCCAACAUCUAUUAUUUAUUAAUCUUUACGUUUUAAAAAGAAUUAUAUAAUUUAAUUUAUAAAGAAGUUAAUUUUUUUUUUAAUUUUAUAAUUCUAAAUUAGAGUUACAUCAAAUAUAUUAAAUGUCAUUUAAUAUUAUAAUCUUAAAUAUGUCGCAUGAAAAAUUAAAGUUAAAGUGCUGACCAAAAAAAGAAAAGGAUCGUUCUUUUUGAAUUAUACUAAAAAAAAAUUAGGAUAUUUUUUUAAAUGAAAGAAGUAACUUUUUUGUAUCAGAGCCUAAUAAAUUUAUAUUCGUAUCGUUUUUAAAUUUUAUUCAAGAAAGAAUGCAUUGUAUCAAAAAGAAAAUUUUAAUACGCUUAAAUUUAAAAUCUCUUAUUGAAGACGGAACAACUUAAUCACGACAUUUGGCCAAACCUAAUUGAUUUUUUUCUUCCUAUUUUUUGAUAAACUGAAUAAUACUCUCCAUAAUAAUAAUAAAAACUAGCGUUUUUAGACUUUAUUAUAAUUUCAAAAUUUCUUUAUUUUAGUUAGUUAGAGACACAAGCUGCUGCAUCAAAAGAAAAACAAAACUCUUCAAUUUACAUCUUACAAGGACUGCAUUUUUUUACUGCUUCAAAAAGAAUUUUUUUUAUAUUAAUAUUUUAAUUUCAAUUUUCAUCAUGUAUAAGACUAUAAAAUUAAAUUAUAAAUUUAUAUAUUUAACAGAAUUUUAGUUUAAAAUUACAAAUUUUAAAAAUCUAUUUUAUUUUCUUAAACUUCAUAUGAAAUUAAAUUUAAUCAUUCUAUUUAAGCGAAGAAAAUAAUUAUUGUUCAAAUAAUUUGACAAAACUAAUACAGGUAUGACAAAAUAAUGAAAUAAUGCCAGUUUAGUGUCUGUGCUCGACUAUAGAUUGAUUUACUAUCUUUAGUCGUGUCUUUGAGAUGCAUCCACAAGAGAAGUUAAAGUAGGUUUUGAUAAGUGGCGGAUCUAAAAAUUUUAAUAAGAAAAUUUGAUAUGUGAAGAAUUAAAUAUAUGAAAUAAUUAAAUAGGUUUAACAUUUAUAAUAUAUUUUUAUAUGAUUAGAAUAAUUUAGAUAUAUAUAGGAAAUGUGAUCUCCUUCACCUAUUUUGUAGAUCUAAUUUUUUUAGAUUUUAAAUCCCUUAUCGAAACUUUUGGCUUCACCUUUACAUAAAAUAUAAUUUAAUCAUGUAUACAUAGUAAAAAAAAUUCGUCGAAGCGGUUCGGAUGAAUCUCCUAUCAGAGGGCUAGCUCCGCCCCUGAUUUUGAUAAUCCUAAAAUAAGGUAAAAGUACAGAAAUCUCAUAUAUUUAGGUUAUAUUUUAUCAAAAAUUUCUCAUUUAUAAAAAUUAAAAUUUGUAUUGUCCUUAAAUAUAUAUUUUUAUUAUCUGAUAUAUUACUUAAUAGAAAAAAUAUAUAUGGGAGUGGAUGAAUGGAGAGCCCCGAGUAGUUUAUUGGACAAAUCAAAUUAACGUGUGAUAAUACUUUUCAGCAUCAAAAGUUUUCUUCUAUCACGAGAGAAAAUGAAUAUAUAUUCGAGAGAGGACCAGGAUUUAAUCUAAACUAAAACAUGUAAAAAAAUAUUUAAUAAAAAUUACUAAUAAACUUUAUCAGAUCUACCAAAACCAAUAAAUUCCCUUAUAAAAAUUAGAGAUCUGAAACAAAUCUUGACCGUCCAUUUCCACAAUCAAACCUAUUUAUACCACUCAUUUCCGCCCUAAAUUUCUUGCCACAAUUCUUCUUCUUCCCUGAAAAACCCCAAAGGAAGAAGAGAAAAGCCUCUCAGAUCUCAUCUUAAACCCUUUCUUUUCUCUUAUACUCGCCUUACCCAUGGCUCUACUCGUUGAGAAGACCACCUCUGGCCGCGAGUACAAGGUGAAGGACAUGUCUCAGGCUGACUUCGGCAGGCUCGAAAUCGAGCUUGCUGAAGUUGAAAUGCCUGGUCUCAUGGCUUCACGUGCUGAAUUUGGCCCUUCACAGCCCUUUAAAGGUGCAAAGAUCACUGGAUCUCUGCAUAUGACUAUCCAAACUGCUGUCCUUAUUGAAACCCUAACUGCUUUGGGUGCUGAAGUUAGAUGGUGUUCUUGCAACAUCUUCUCAACUCAGGACCAUGCUGCAGCAGCCAUUGCACGUGACAGUGCUGCUGUCUUUGCCUGGAAAGGUGAGACUUUGCAGGAGUACUGGUGGUGUACUGAGAGGGCACUUGACUGGGGUCCAGGUGGUGGUCCUGAUCUGAUUGUUGAUGAUGGAGGUGAUGCUACUCUGUUGAUUCAUGAGGGAGUUAAGGCUGAAGAGGAGUUUGCUAAGAAUGGAACAGUCCCAGAUCCCACUUCUACUGACAAUGUUGAGUUUCAACUUGUGCUUACUAUUAUUAAGGAGAGCUUAAAGACUGAUCCAUUAAGGUACACUAAGAUGAAGGAGAGACUUGUUGGUGUUUCUGAGGAAACUACCACUGGUGUUAAGAGGCUUUACCAAAUGCAGGCUAAUGGAUCUUUGCUUUUUCCUGCUAUCAAUGUUAAUGACUCUGUUACCAAGAGCAAGGUAUAUUAUAUGUGCUUUCUAACUUAUUGUUUUGAUUCUUAUGCUUCAGAUCUAUGUGAAUUGGUUGUGUGUAGUGUUCAUGUGCUAGUUAUACAUAUAGAUCUGUUAUGAAAUGAUUGAUAAUUGCUUGGAUCUGAUACAGAGGAACUAUACUGUUAACUUAAUGUUGAUUGAUUUGUACUUAUUGUACAAGUGCAAUGUAUAUUUGAGUUGAAUCUUAUUAAUGAAUCAUGAAUCUUCUACUGUUUUGGUAAUGUUUGAGGAAUAAAUGCUAUUGCCUUUUGAAAAGCUAAAAGUUUUCAUCUUUUCUAAUUGGAGUGCGUGGUUAUAUAGUCACUGAUUAGAAAAUUUUGUAAGAUAUUUAUGUGAUGAUGCAUAUUUCACUAGAUCCGUAUUGUUAAGCAUAGAAAAGAUGGUUUCUAAAAUGUCUGAUCUUGUUACAUGAAGAAAUGGUACUUAUUUAACCUCAUAAGUUCAUGACUUUAUUGUAUUGAUUGUUUGCUUAAAGUGGAAGAAUGGUGAAGUGUAUAGUUUUUCACUUGAUUAGUUGAAGAAUGACAACUUGAUUAGCUUAGAUAGGUUUACUUAUAGCUCCAUUUGGAAAAGCUAUUUACAGUAGAUGCAUAAAGUAGUAGAUCUUGAUUAUUAUAUUUAUACCAGGGUCAUGUUUGUUAUUAAGCUCAUUGAUUGACAAUUGUAUUGAUCUGUUUGGUUUGCAGUUUGACAACUUGUAUGGAUGCCGCCACUCACUUCCCGAUGGUCUCAUGAGGGCUACUGAUGUUAUGAUUGCUGGAAAGGUUGCUCUUGUUGCUGGUUAUGGAGAUGUCGGCAAGGGAUGUGCUGCUGCCAUGAAACAAGCUGGUGCCCGUGUGAUUGUGACUGAGAUUGACCCAAUCUGUGCUCUCCAGGCUACCAUGGAAGGCCUCCAGGUUCUUCCUCUUGAGGAUGUUGUUUCUGAGGUUGAUAUCUUUGUGACCACCACCGGUAACAAGGACAUCAUCAUGGUUGACCACAUGAGGAAGAUGAAGAACAAUGCCAUUGUCUGCAACAUUGGUCACUUUGACAACGAAAUCGACAUGCAUGGUCUUGAAACCUUCCCUGGUGUGAAGAGGAUCACAAUCAAGCCACAAACCGACAGAUGGGUCUUCCCAGACACCAACAGUGGCAUCAUUGUGUUGGCCGAGGGUCGUCUCAUGAACUUGGGAUGUGCCACUGGACACCCCAGUUUUGUGAUGUCUUGCUCUUUCACUAACCAAGUCAUUGCCCAACUCGAGUUGUGGAAUGAGAGGAGCAGUGGCAAAUACGAGAAGAAGGUGUACGUCUUGCCAAAGCACCUUGACGAGAAGGUUGCUGCCCUUCAUCUUGGAAAGCUCGGAGCCAAGCUUACCAAACUCACCAAGGAUCAAGCUGACUACAUUAGCGUACCUGUUGAGGGUCCUUACAAGCCUGCUCACUACAGGUACUGAGGGGAAGAGACGCUCACAGUGGAACAACGAUACGGCGGCAUGAUUGUUUUGUUUUUAAUACUUUUAUUUUGUUUAGGUAGUGUGUUUUUAUUUUUGUUGGGGGAUAUUUUGCUGGAAAGUUGACCUAAAUGUGUUUGAAUAAUAUUUGAAUUAUGGUUGGGGUGGUGUCAUAUGAUAUUGUACCAAGUUAGAUUCAUUUGCUUUCUUGUUUCUAUAAAAUUUGCUUCAAGGAAACAAAGCAUCAUGUUUUUCAUUUUCACUACAUCUUUGCUUUAUUUACUUGAUGUUAUUGCAAUUCUUCUCUUAUUUGGCUUCUGUUUAUGCAUCCAUAUGAGAGAGUUCACUUCUAAGAGGGAACAUAUGGUUGACUCCUAGUGAAGAUUUGCGUAGUCUUUGAAAUUUAUAUUUGUGACUUUCGAAAAGCAUAAUAGAGAUGAAAGGAGUAAAUUACUGUACUUUUUAAAUUAAACUUUAGGGAUGGGAACCACCUUGGGGAUUAUCACACCUCAGCACUCAAAAUAACUCCUUUUUGUGAAUAAAACUCCUUUCGUUUCACAAAGAAAUUUAAGAAUAUAAAGUAAUUUUUGAAUUUUAUGAUUCUAAAUUGGAAUUUGAUUAAAUACAAAAUUGUACUUUGAUUUACUGACCUUAAACACGUCACAAGAGGCCAUUCUUUUCGAAAUAAACUAAAAAAAAAAGUCAUUCUUUUUUAAACGGAGAGAAUAUCAAAAAAAAAGAUGUCCUUUCGUUUCACAAAGAAGUUUAAGAAUAUAAAGGAAUUUUUGAAUUUUGUAAUUCUAAAUUAGAGUUUGGUCAAAUACAAAAUUUUAUUUUGAUCUACUGACCUUAAACACGUCACAAGAGGCUAUUCUUUUCAAAAUAAACUAAAAAAAAAAUCAUUCUUUUUUAAAUGAAGGAGUAUAAAAAAAAGAUGAAAGAUUCUUAAUUUUUUUUUUCUAAUUGUACAAAUAAUUAACUACAUUGAGCAUAAAUCUCUCUUUACAUCAUUUAAAAUGAUGACACACUUGAAUUUUUUUUUUUUUUGGGAGAAUUUGAAAUUUCAGAUCAUAAAUUUGAGCCCCAUUUAGCCAAAACAAUAAUUUGUAUGUACACUUCUUCUAACUAUUUUGUGCAAUCUAAAAGGACCUCAAAUUUGAGAUAUUUGGGUGAAAAAGUUGAAUGCUUGUUGGAAAAGAAAUAGCUUUUUUAAAGGGAGAACAAAACAAAAUUUGCUUGUAAAAAAAUAAAGUAAUUAUAAACUUAUUUGCCUAAAAUUAAAUGAUCUUUCACCAACCACCACCACCAAAUUUUCUUUGUUUUUUUCAACUUCAUUUCACCUAAUGCUAUCCAAUUAGAUAAGAUAGUCUAAUUAACCAUGGUUUAAUAAAAGAAACAUCAUGCAUCUAUUAAUUAUGGUUUGAGUUCGAGUUCUAAUAUAUAUGUAAAAACUUGAUAGAAAAGAAAAUCCUUCUGUUUUGAAUGAAUAUUAUGUAAUGGAAAAUCGAAUUAAUUGAACUCUAAAUAUCAACAAAUAUAUAGGGAAAUUUUAUAAGUGAGGUUUGUGAGAAUAGAGUAUAUGCAAAUUUUAUUAUUAUCAUAUGGAGGUAGAUACACUAUUUUCAAAAGACCGUCGACUCUAAUACAACUAUUUAAAUAUAACGAGAAAAUUAUGAUACGCCACAAAAAAUAGUAUCAAGUCUACUAAAAAGGAGCAACAACAAUAAUAAAAGAUGCAUCAAUUGAAACGUAAUAAAUAAUAAAUAUACUAAGAUAGAUUAUUAAAAACGAUGAUGUAGUAAAGUUUGAAACUAAUUUUAUUCUUUGUAAGGAAAAAUUGUAGUACUUUCUCCGUUUCACAAAGAAUGAUCUAAUUUGACUUAACACGAAGUUUAAGAAAAUAAAGAAGACUUUUGAUCAUGUGAUCUCAAAUUAAAGUUAUGUCAAAUGUAUAAAAUUACACUUUAAUAUUGUGGCCUUAUAUAUGUUAUCUAGAAAAUUAUUACCAAAAAAAAGAAAAAUAUAAUUUUUUUGAAACACUGAAUCAGAAAAAAAAUAAAAUUGUAGUCACUAUUGUGAGUCACUUUAAUUAAAGACAACAUGGUCCUUUUGCCGCACCGCAAUUUGGAAAUUAAGAUGUGCACUUAUAGUAGCUAAUUCAAUUUUAUUGGGUUCAUGUGGGAGACGUUAAAAUAAUCGUAUUGUUGAAUAUUUUAUCUUUUUUACUUUUAAUUUAAUAGAGUGUUUUUAUAACAUGGUAAAAAAUAUCGCUUAAUAAAUCACACAUUUGAAAACAUGAACAAUAGCCUGACACAAGUAAACAUGCAAAGGUUUCGACAUGUAAAAGGGGAGUUCUUGUGAGCAUAGUUCAUAUUCAUUUAUCUCUAAAAUGUAUAAGGUGGAGGCUCAACGUAUAAUUUUUGAGACUCAUUUUAGCUGUGCUCAAACAUUAUUCAUUAUUUUCUCGAGGACAAUUUUUCUUAAUUAUACCUAUACUGAUUGCCACGAAUAUUAACAUUUUUUUUUCAAGGUAAUGUUUGAUUUCCUGAAAUAUGUUACAUUUGAGAGAAAAAAGAGAUUAAUCAUUGCAUUCAUCCAUAAAAUACAAUGUUAUAAUUUGGUUCAUGAACUAUCAUUGGUAUCUUGAUCACAAAUAUAUCUUUCCAUUAAUGUACAAAUUUUACACAAAAAAUACAAUAAAAACCUUCAGAGCUUUAUGGAUCAAUUGCUAAAUGUAAGACAAAUUCAAACAAAUCGUAUUUAGAAUGAAUAGGUUAAAAAUAUUUGAACUAUUAUACUUUCACGAGUUACAUGUAUCUAAUAGCCGUAUGUUCCUUUUAUAUCACCAAACAAUAAUUUCGUGUAUAUUAAAAAACCCACCAUCACAUAACUACAUGUGUGUCUAUUACACACCCAAUUUACCUAAAAACAAUGCCAACUAACGAGGGGGUUUUAUUAUAGAGAGAAUUAUUAUUCCAAGCGUUAAUAUAUUGAGAUCUCUUUCACUCUUAAUCAAAUAAAAUUCGAAAUCAAAAAAUGAAAAAUGCAAGGGAGUAUUAAUUACAAGAAAAUAUGCUACUACAUCAUCCUUUCUCAUUCGUGUCUGAUAUUCAUAUUGAAGUCUAACUAAUUCAGGUUCACAUCACAUAAAAUCUCGUUCAUAAAAAAAUAUUCAAAUAUAAAUGAGAUUUGAUUAAGCAAAAUGACUAAUCUUUUUCUACCCCAUCAUCGCUACCAACCAACCAACUCCUAGAAAUAAAUUUAAAAACAUCACCUUAAUGAAAAAAUAAACUAAGCACUUCCAAUUUUGAAAAGAAAAUACAUUCAUCCAAUCAAAAUUUUAGAUAUUUUUUAUUUAUCAAAUUUGUAGGUCUACCAAACCUCAAUUUAAUCCAAUCAACUAUUCAGAUCUGAAACAAAUCUUGACCGUCCAUUUCCAUCAGAGAAGCCUAUUUAUACCAAUCACUUCCUUCCCUUAUUUCUUGCAACACUCUUCUUCUUCCUUAAAACCCAAAGGAAGAAAAGAAAAUCGCCUCUUUCUGUCAAUUUCAUCUCAAAAUCUCCCAUUUUCUCUCAGUUUUUCUCUUAUACUCGCCUUACCCAUGGCUCUACUCGUUGAGAAGACCACCUCUGGCCGCGAGUACAAGGUGAAGGACAUGUCCCAGGCUGACUUCGGCAGGCUCGAAAUCGAGCUUGCCGAAGUUGAAAUGCCUGGUCUCAUGGCUUCCCGUGCUGAAUUUGGCCCUUCACAGCCCUUUAAAGGUGCAAAGAUCACUGGAUCUCUGCAUAUGACUAUCCAAACUGCUGUUCUUAUUGAAACCCUAACUGCUUUGGGUGCUGAAGUUAGAUGGUGUUCUUGCAACAUCUUCUCAACUCAGGACCAUGCUGCAGCAGCCAUUGCACGUGACAGUGCUGCUGUUUUUGCCUGGAAAGGUGAGACUUUGCAGGAGUACUGGUGGUGUACUGAGAGGGCACUUGAUUGGGGUCCAGGUGGUGGUCCUGAUCUGAUUGUUGAUGAUGGAGGUGAUGCUACUCUGUUGAUUCAUGAGGGUGUUAAGGCUGAAGAGGAGUUUGCUAAGAAUGGAACAAUCCCAGAUCCUAGUUCUACUGAUAAUGUUGAGUUUCAACUUGUGCUUACUAUUAUUAAGGAGAGUUUAAAGACUGAUCCUUUAAAAUACACUAAGAUGAAGGAGAGACUUGUUGGUGUUUCUGAGGAAACUACCACUGGUGUUAAGAGGCUUUACCAAAUGCAGGCUAAUGGAACUUUGCUUUUCCCUGCUAUUAAUGUUAAUGACUCUGUUACCAAGAGCAAGGUAUGU
rnacentral:lncRNA from 1 species